AGGAGGAGAGAAGAAGGGUGGGAUGUGAAGCCUAACAUAAUGAUGAGUGUAUGCUUUUUUUUUUUUUGUGGUGAUUAAGAAUGUGAUGAUGAUAAUUAAGGUUUUUGUUGUGGUUUAGGUUUUUUGUUUGUGUUUUUUCUUGCGGUUACCCCAGAGUUUUUGGGUUUGCAGGGAUAAACAGAGGAACAGAGUGGGUGGAAGAGGUAGAGAUAUUAUUGCUUUAUUAUUUGUUUGAUGAAAUAUGGUCGACAUUUCACAUAUUUACACACUUCAGCAACAAACAACAUACUUACUUGGAUGGGUAUUCGUUCGUAGGCCCUCUAUAUAGCCUUUGUCGCUUUUGAAACGAUUUCUUACCUAAAAUGCCCUUACCUCUUUCUUUUCAUUCUUCUGCUCCUCAAAUUCUUCUCACUUUAGACCUAUAUGUCAUUCUAACAUAACUACAUUUAUUCCAAAUUGAAUAUUAUUUUUAAUUUUUAACCUCAAUUUAUUUUUUCUUUUUAAAUUGUUACCAUCUAUAACACUUCCAUAGUAAAAAAUUAACUAAUAAUUAAUAAACAUAAUUUAGCAAAGUAAUUAUUAUUUUUCUUUUAAUUAAAGUUGAAAAAAUCAAUUGACUCGUCACAUUUAAAAUGACCAAUUUAAUAUCCUGACGAGUUAGAGUGGGUUAUGGAUCACAUGAACUAGCACAUGUGGUAUACACGGGUUUAAGAGGUUAGGUGUGAAUGAAAAAAUAGAUUUAAGGUUAGUUCAAUAUAAUCACUUCAUUUUAAACUCUAGAUAUUAAAACUCAAAAUUUUUAUAGUCAACAUCUUAGUCUCACUUAAUUAUCACAUCACCGGUAUGAUAAGUGUCUUGUUUCAUAAAAUUUUAUUCAAGUAUUGACAAAAAUAUUAAAAUUCUGAUAUAUAUACUUUUUAAAUAAAAUUUAAAAAUAAAAUCAACAUAAAGUUAAAGAAAAUGAACAUCUAAAUAAAAAAUAAUAGUUCAUCACCCGAAUUAAUCUACUCACAUGAUACAGAAAUUUGCACUAAUUGAAACCUACUUAAACCGCAAGGACAAAUACAUGUGUGUUUAACUGGGGCAAGAGUUGAAUAAUUUUGUUUUUGUCCAUCACUAAAAAUUAAGUAUUGUCCCUGUUAAAGAUAUAAAAUAAUUUUAUUUUUGAAGAAUUAGAUGCACAUUAAUAUGAGAGAUAAAUUUUUGAAUGAUUGUGUUUGGUUACUUACAAAAAAAUCAUUUGUUAGUGCUGAAAAUGAAAAAAUUAUAUUAUGAUCUUAAAAUAAAUUUAACUGCAUUUUUUAUUCUCUAUUUUAUCACACUCACAAAAUAAUUUCUCUAUUUUAAAAUGAAAUUUUAUGAUCUAUCAAUUAUUAUAUUUGUAAUAAUUUUGGUUUAAACCCAUAAUUUAUACCCAAAAUAAUAAUUUUAGCCAUAAAAUCGUAAAUUUUUUUAUUUUAAAAGUGAUUAUUUUUCUCUUUAAAAUUGUAAUUGGCACAGUGAGUCAUAAUUUUUGUAGUAAUCAACUUUUUGGUUUUUUUUACUAAUUAAACUUUUUGUUUAGUGAUAUAAUUAUUUUGACAUUUUAUCACUUACAUUUUAAUAUAUUUUUUAUAUCAAUAUUUAUAGUAUUUGAUAUUUCUUGUGAUUUUUAUAGUUGCUUCUAUUAAUCAAAUUGGUUGAAUUCAUCACUUCUAAACCGAUGUAAAAAUUAGAUGGAAUUCAAUUUGUAAAUUGCAUACUUUAUUUGAGAUGAUUUGAUAAAAUUGGAUUUGAGCAUGCUUAAAUCCAAUUAAAGUUUAGCUCUAUUUUCAAUCAUUGUAUUUUUUUGGACAAAAAUAUAUUUUAAUCAUUUAAGUUUACCUCAAUUUUUAUUUAGGUCUUUUUAAGUUUAUUUUUUCGAUUGGAUCCAUUAAGUUACAUUAGUUUGUACAAUUAGCCUUUAAGAUAAAUAAAAUUAUGCAUGCAGUUCUUCAAGUUUAAAUUUUUUUUCUAAUUAUUGUCAUGAAAUAUUAAGAUCUAAUCGAAACAUCACUAUAACUUGAUUGUCCAAACUAUUUUGCAUGUGAAGGAAGUUAAAAAAAUUGAUUAUAUAGAUAAAUCUUUAUUGCCUUAUUUUUAAGACUAUACAUGAAUUUAAAUUGCUGUAAAAAAGAAUACAAAAAUAUAUAUCAUUUAUAAAGUUUUGAUAAAUAUUUUCUGAAUGAUUAAUGUAAGAGACAUAUUAUUGCAUUAUUUGGUAAAAUUUCAAAUGAUAACAAGUUUUCAAUUGAAAUAGUUGUUACCAAAAUUAAUAUAAAAGAACAACGGUGUAAAUAUAAUAUAAAUUAAAGGACCAAAUAGAGAUACAAUAAACUUAUAAGUCCUAAACGAAAAUUAAAUUAAAUCUUAAUAACUAUAAAUGUAUUUUUACUUCUUUCUUAUUAUAUAUAUAUAUAUAUAUAUAUAUAUAUAUAUAUAUAUAUAUAUAAAUAUAUAUAUAUUUUUAUUUUUUUCUUUUUAUAUAUAUAUAUAUAUAUAUAUAUAUAUAUAUAUAUAUAUAGUUUAAAUAACACUCAUUCUUAAAUACAGGAAGUAUAUAUGUCGACUCUUUAACGAGUUUUUUUAUGUUUUGACACUUGUCCUCUUCUUGCUAUCACUACAAUAUUUUUUCCGGGUAUAAUAUUGAAUUCAAUGCAAUGGACUUGGAGUUGCAUUUUCCCGUCGUGUGUUCCACUAUAAAAUAGAAUUGUUUGUUUCCACGUGUUAUUUGCUUAUUUUCAUUUUAAUAUAAAUAAAAAAUAAACAAGUAGUCUAUUAUUCAUGUCUUAUAAUAAAUAACUUUAUUGAUACAAGCAUUUUAAAUAAACGUAAAAAUAAAUUAAAGGAAUUGUACUUUUAUUAUAUUAUUUUUAUUAUUACUGUUAAUGUAAAGUGGGAAAACGUGAAUUGAGAGUGAUGUAUAUAAUAUUAAUUAGAUGAUAUAACUAAAAGAAAGUAAUUAAUAUGACAUUGAAAAUGAAAAAUAGUAAUUUGUUUUGGGACAAAUUCUUUGGAAAAAUAGAUCAAUCUUUAUGAGAUGGUGAAAUUAAAUGAUACUGGGUGUUUGUUUUGUGGAUGUGAAAUUCGCUUUCAAGAAUAAUUUAAAAAAAAAAGAAUAAAAGUCCUAUUUUUGGGUACUUUUUAGAAAUCAUGUUUGAUUAAUAUUUGUGUUGGGUGGGACUCUACCAAAAAAUAAUUGGACUAGAGUGCUAAAUGGAUCUUAAUUAACGGCCUCAUAGAUCCACUAGCGACGAUGCAUGACAACUCUAUGGACUUACGUCCCAGCCAAAUAUAACUCCAUGACAAAUCUUUGUCAUUUCAUCGACAUCACACAACAAUACGAGAAUUCCAUGACAACAAUAUGAGAAUUCCAUGAGGGUUUCACAAUUGCCUAAUGAAAAUCCAUGUGUUUUAGAGGAUGUUAAGCAUUUCAAAACAAGAGUGAAUUAUAAAAUAUACAUUAAAAUAUUGAUACAUUCAAUAACAUUACUAAGAUGUUUUACCUAGAACAAAACAUAAAGACUAGAUGGAGAAGAGGCAUAACAAAUGCAAUGAGUUAACCAGAUGAUAAAUGAAAAUGAUGCAUGAAUGAUAUUUUAUUACUUUUUCCCCUUAUUUUUUCUUUACUAUGUCUUCAACAAAAAGGAUAAAGGAAAAAAAAUAGAUAAGAGAAAGGCUAAUUAAAUGAAAAUGAAGAAGCUCAAGUUACUUACCUAUUAAAGUAUUACACCUAACUAUACUAGGUAUAACUCUACUAUAGUUACUUACUAAAGAAUCCAAGUUACUUUAUUGAUUUAUACUAAGAACUACUCUAGCUACUAUAAAACUAUUCUACUACUCUUAACAACUCUAGUUACUGUUUUUGACUAGACUCAGACCCAAUACGCAACAACCAUUGGGCCUUAGCUCAAUCCAGUGAAGGUCGAACUUAAGGUGUGUUAUAUCACCAAAAUCGUUUGAGGCGCCGAAUUCGCGCCAUAUCCAUCAGGACCGUUGAUCAUCAAUCAAUCGGCUGCCUGCAUUUUGCGUCGGUUUCCCUGCUUGACCAGAUUUGGCAUCCCUCAAGAUGUGGUCAAUGACAAUGACACACGAUUUUACGGAUAAAGCUUUACGUACAAUCCUUCAAGAGUUGCAUGUCAAACACCAUUUUGCCUCUAUCAAGCACCCUCAAACUAAUGGGCAAGCAGAAGUGAUGAUAAAGUCAUACUCUGGAGACUCCAUAGAAAACUAGAUGACAUCAAAGGAAACUUAAUAGAAGUGAUGUGGAACGUCCUAUGGGUUUAUCAAAACAUGCCCCCUCACCACAAUAGGAGAGUCUCCGUUCCGACUAAAAUAUGGUUCAAAAGUAGUAGUUUCAGUCAACACAAUAUGAGGAGAAUGCUCAAAUUCUUAAAGAGGAGUUGGAAUUGCUAGAUGAAGCAGGAUGAUUAGCCUCCUUGAAUGAGGCUGCCAUGAAAAGGCACAUAGCUAUGAGGCCCAACCGAGAGGUCAUUCGCAAAAACUUUGAAGUGGGAGAUCUCGUGUUACACCUGACCAGUGGCAGAUCUUGCACAAAAUAUUGGGGAGAAUGACAAAUAUAAACUAAAUUAUUAUAAUUAAAAUUCAUAAAAGUCAUAUAGUUUUAUCAAAGGUUUAACAUAACACCAAUAAAAAUAAAAAUAUAAAUGUGAAAAGAGAUAUUUACAUCAAAUUAAAGUUGUGCCAUUUGUUCUCCUAAAGCCUUGAAAUCAUCGAUAGUUGAAUCAAAACUAAAGUUUUUAACUAUUUAUUUUUCAAUAUAAAACACCAUAUUGCCAACAAGAAAUUCAUCCUCCAUCUUGUUACGCAGUCUUGUCUUAAUAAUUUUCAUUGCUGAAAAUGAUCUUUUUGUAGUAGCUAGAGAAACCAGAAUAGUUAAUAAUAUGUAUUUUCCUUUGCUGUUUUUUUGAGAGCUUCACACACAUAGUCGACAAGUUAUUCAAAUAUGGAUGACUAAAAAAUCAGGAAUAAAUUGUUUCAAUUGAAAUCUCAAAUUAACUUUCUGUUGAUAAUUAAAAUCCAGAGGAUAAAAUUUGGUUACAAGAGCACAUAUAUUGUCCAUAGCAUAUGCUUUGUAAAUAUCUUUAGGAAUCAAACUAUUGGUUAGACUCAAAAGCUCCAUAUCAAUUUUCAUCUUUGUCAAAAACUUUUUUCUUGACAAUGCAUCAAUUUUUUUAUGGUUAAACAUCGUGUCACUCUCAAAAAAAUACACAAAUUAAUCAAAAUAGUUCAUAAAUUAACUAAAACAAUUCACAAUUAAUAAAUAAUAUCACACCAUAUCAUAAAUCAAUUGUUAACAUGUAAAAAUUUGUUAUAGUUUGUUAAUAUGUUGUCAUUGGAUUGUUAAUUAGGGUGUUAGAGUUUAUCUGUAUAUCGAUAUUAGUUAAUUUAUCAUUCGAUAUUAGGUAGUUUAUCUGUAUAUAGAACUCAUCAUAUCAAUUUUAUUAUGUUUUAUUAGCAUAAAUUCUAAUAAAUGUCUACUUAAUUCCCCGUUUAUCUCUUCAAUCACGUAAUUUCAAAUAUGAUAUCGACAACUUGUUUGUGAUUUAAGAACAAUUGAAUAAUCUACUUUACAUUGUGGUAAAGAUGAUAAGAAGAAGAUUAUUAUCGACAAGAACCAUUGAUAUUUGUUUUUCACUCUAUUUAUAAAGAAAAAUUACGUAAGUAGAAGAGGAAAAAAAAUAAAACUAAAAAUUAUAAGAAGCAAAUUGAGAUAGUAUGAGGAUCAAGACCAAGAAGUGACGCUUAAGGCCGGUCGCGGCUGGCCACUUCAACUGAGAGGGAUAUAAAUAUGAGCAUAGAGAAAUAAGGGAGAGGCGAUGUCAUAUUCUCAAAAUCCAAAAGGUUUGGAGGGAUAUUUUAGUAACUUAUCACUAUUAUUUUCAUAAUAUAUCAUUAUUAUUUAUUAAAAAAAAAUAUAAAUAUAGGGGAUGCCGUGACCUCUUUCUGCUCUAAAGAAAAUACACCAUUGCAUCUGACCCAUAUUGAAUUGAAGAUUGCCGAUCAAGGCAAGCUUGCCCCAAAUCGGGAGGGUCCUUAUCAUUUGAUUGUCAAGACAGAAAAUAAAGCAUACAUCCUGGAAACACUACUCGACAAAGCAAUCCCCUGGACAUGGAACGUCAAUACACUAAAAAAUGUACUACAAUUGAAUAUUCAAAAAGCCACAUGUGGCCAACUUAAAUGCUUGUAAGAAAUCUUUUUCCAAAGUUAUAAAUAAUAUUAAUGUGAGCAUUUCAAAUAUAUAUUAACGCGAUCAUCAUUGGUCGAGGCACAAUCCUUCAAAUUAAUGACUCAGGUGACAUGCCACAUUGAAAGCAUCCCUACAUCAUUCUAGAAGGGAAGCGCAUGUGGCACCUCCUAUCAUGCACACCCCGCAUAUCCGAUUAACCAUCAAAUUGUGGCGGGUUCUAUCACAAUUGUUUUCCCCAAUCUGAGCACAUGCUAAAGAGCAGGGAAAGAUAGGGAAAACCUUGGUCAGAGACCCCUAGCAACGAACUUGAACAAUGUUGCUCGAACUACUUCACGCCUUGUUGUUUGAGGACUAGCACAUUCAAUUAUAUCAAGAGUAUACAAGUCAAAAUUACGAUUAAUAUUUGUGACUUCGAAUUAUCGUUUCAAGCUACUGAUAAUAUAAGCACAAAAUCAAGUUCAACAAAAAGGACAACAUUAAUAACAAAGUCUUAUUGAUAAUGUCAUGAUUGUGUCGAACGUAAUUUAUACAAGAUAGAGGAAACAAACAAACUACUAUAGUCUGCCAUCCUCGAGCACUUUGCCGCAAUCAAGUUCAUCCAAAGCAAGGUUAAGACCGAAGUCAGAGUUGAAGACUUAGUGAAUUGCUUUUUGGAAUGACUCUGUGACCAAGCUAUCUAUAUUCUCCAAUAAUUCCAUAAUCUCCUUCAUUGCGACCUCUUUUUGCUUUGCCAAUUGAGCCCUCAAAUCCUCGACUUCCUUCUCCAAAGUUGAGAUCCGAGUAAUCAAGUUCUUCUUCAACUCCUCCAUCUACCUCCUCACCUCAUUCAUCUUGUCUUAAGACUCCCCAAGUUGAGCCUUUAGGAUAACAUUCUCCCCAGCAACAUAUGCCUUCUUCUCAUUGGCUUUCUUCGCCAGUACACUUGAAGCUUGAGUCUUAUCUUCUGCCUUUUCAAGAUUACAUUGCAGGUCAUCUGUCACCUUGAGGUUUUUCUCAUAGCCCUCCAUGGGUAAUCUCAAGUUGACAAAUGGGGGCCUCCACCUUCACCUUUUUCGCAUGAAGCACAAAGCUAUCAAAAUCCAUGGCCUAUUCUAUAACAUGGGCAAUGGAGGCCACAACACUGAUCCUUAGAGUAGUAAGUUUUAAACCAAUAGAGCUCGUUGGUUGAUAGGGCCUUUAUGAGACAAGAAAUCCUUGUUAGUGGGAUCCAUCAUGGUCCCUAGUACACUAGGAAAUGAGGGAAAAAUACUUGCCCACUCCCUCGACAACCUCACAACCCUAGCAGUCAAUGAUGGCAUAUGGGGUCUUGCAUUUUAGCAGGACUUUUGACGUUGAUCCAUCAAUGUUAGAUAUAUAUUUUAUUGUCAUUCUCCACCUGGUAGGUCCAGUUAUUGAACUUAUUGAUGUAUUCCUACAUAAGUUUCAAUGUGGCGAUGUCGAUUGGCCGCAAAUCCUUUUUUUAAGGUAAUUUCAUAUUGUUGUUUUUAAAGUGACAUGGAGACCAAUACUUUGGGAACCGACCAACACAAUUAGUGUCCUCGUAAGCACUCUCAGUCCUCAACAUUUCCUUACUUCGUUACAAAAUGAUAAUGGUUUGCUUAAGUGUUUGUGUGCGUCUAGAGUUUAGGGACAGAUAGUAUGGAACUUGUCUUUGAAUUUUUUGAAGGAGUCAGUGUAUGUCUCAAAGAUCUUCUUAGUUUCUUAUUUGAAAGUAAUCAACCCUUAUAGGUAGCAAAAAUUUCGACUCAAACUCCAAAUGCUCGCACAAAUACUAGUAAGCCUAGAGGGCCACAUCAAGAUGGUUCAAUACGAACACCUCAUACUUAGUAAAGGGAAGACAUAUUUGUUGAGGUAAAACCCUUUUUGAUGUAUGUUUUAAUGAGAACAAACCUUAUGAAAUAAGUGACUAAGUUUUAUGAAUGGUGGUCUACUAAUGAUUACACCCGAGUUUUGUUUAAGGAACAUGAAUUGCAUAAGUGAUCAAGCAAGAAGUCAUUCACUUCAUAAAAGUGCAUAAGUAUCCACUCAAUAAUGAGAAAAUCUCAAAAGAAAUGUAUCAUAUAUCAAUCAUUCAAGAGAAUGAUUAUUACAUCUUCAAGAUAGAAUCUUCAUGAAGAAGAUGAUCAAAUACAUUCAUACAACAAUCAAUGAUUACACUAUGCUAUAAAUCAGAAGCAAGAUCAUUUGAAAUAAGCAAGAUCAAAUAUGACAAACGAAGAAUGUUCUGGUUAUUAAAAAAAAAAAAAAACGAAGAACAUUAUUGACAACAUUCUAAAAAACGAAGAUCAUUAUAGACUGCAAUAUGAAAAACAAAGAUCAUUUUGGAUGUAAGACCCAUUAUCAUUUGUCUAGAAUAUGAAAAUUUGGCCCAUACACCUUAAUAAAACAGAGGUAAUUAACAAUAAAUAAUAAAUUAGAAUCACCAUCAUAACUGAAAACUACAUUCAUAAAUAUAGUUUAUAACUUGUUUAGUAAAUUCAUAAAAUAUUACAUCUUGAAAACAACUACUAUUAAUUGAUUACAUCAUAAAACAAAAUAUUAAAUUCUAAUUCCACGAGUUUGGAACUAAUCUUCUGAUGCUAAUUUCAUGUCUCAUGUUCCUCCAGCUGCUAAAUAAAAAUAAUAAUAAUAAUUGGGGUGAGAUAAAAUAUCUCAGUGAGCUAUAAAAAUAAAAGGAAAAAACAAUCUCAAUGAAUUUCUUUCAUAAAAGUGUAUAAAACGUGAAAAAAUAAUUAUACAUGUAUAUAUAUAUGUUGUGAAAAACAUAUGCAUGACUUGAAAUCUUUUCCUUUGGAAUAAGGAAAAGUCGUCCAAUAUCUUAAUGUGGGUCACUAAGAUAAUUGAGUCCUGAUUGGUAAAGGUGGUCUGGCCAAACCCCAAUCAGCGUCCUGAUUGUUCUCCUUUACCUGUUAUUCCAUGCUUGAAAUAACCUAAAUGUCCCACCGUGAAUAAGGCCAUGCAUGCUCUGAUUAAUGGUAUUGUACAAAACUUACAUGUUUUGUAUGAAAUGCACUUAUUAUGUCAUAUAUAAAACGCAUCAUUCAUCCACAACAAUUAUCAAUAAAUUAGGUGAUAUACUAAACUCAUAAUAAUUUAAUCUUAAGUCCUUAAUUCAAAACGUAAAUUCAUAGUCAAAAAAUAGAAACAAUAUUGGAGUCAUGAAAAUAGUAACAACUUCAUAACAAUUAAUAACUCAAACAGAAUAAAAGUUAUAUAUAUAUACAUAUAUAAAUAAUGAAGCAAUUCAAAUUUCUUAAGAAUUUUAUUCAUUUUUGCAAAUCACACAGUAGAAUAUUUUCAGUACAAUGGUCACUAAUAAUUAUUGAUGAAAGGUCAAAUUACUUUAGAAAAUUCCAAAAAUUUACUUGAAAGCUAACUCAAUUAAGAACAUAAUGCAAUUGAUCCCAUCUCAAAAUUGGAAACCUAUAAUUUAGGAAAAAUCAUGGACUAAGACUAAUUUACACACGCUGCAGAAAGUCUCCAUCACAAAAGUCAUUAAUAAUUAUUGAAAAAUGGUCGAAUGACAAUAGAAAAUUUUGAAACUUUUACUGAAAGUAGAUAACUCACCUAUAAACACAACAUAGUUGGUCUCAUCUCAAAAUUCGAAAUCAACAAUUCAUGAAAAAUCUGAUUCUAAGACUUGUUUACAUAGUUUUGUUUUUAUUUAGAAAACCAAACUUAAAUACAACAAUUCUCCUGCAAUAGUUCUCGCAGUAUUUUCAUCAAACACCUCUCAUGCAAUGAAUAUUUGGGAUAAAAAUAGAAUUUUCUCUCCACUAGUAAAUAAAACCAUAUAUUUUAAAUGCGUACACCUAAAAUCAUCAUUCUAACCGAAAUUAACGUAACAUAACACAAUUUCACAAACACAUAUCAGAGGCAACAACAGCAGUAACGAGCAUAAAUCGUGCUCGACAAGCAUAAUCACUUUAAAUCUAGUGAUACACAUAUAAUUAAAAUUUUCCUAAUACAUAAUUCAUUCACAAACAUCACAACCAUAAACAACAGCCUACAUUCUAACUUAUUUUCAACAACUUCAGAAAAUGAAAUCCCUAAUCAUAACAACAACAACAACAACAACAACAACAAAAAACCCUUUAAUAAAAAGAACUCACCGUUGGUGAUAAAGGAGAAGACAAUGUUCCGAUUAAAUUGGUAGCUGAACUCCCCUUUUGCCUGAAUUGCCACUUUGACUCUUCUUCGUUUGUUGGUUAAUAUCCUUUGCUGCUUUGAUUGAAACCGAUUAGUAGUUACAAAUUGAGACAUGCAAGGUUUAAAAAUAGGUUUAAGGAGCUUUGUCAAGCUUUUGGGUUUGACUGAUUUAAAAAAUGAAGGAAAAUGAGAGGUUGAAGAUUGGGAGGAUGGGUGCUUAGGUAACGAAGAAGAAGAAGGAAUGGGAAUGUGGGUUUCUGAAAAUGGUAGAGAGAUAUUGGAGGGAUAGUGUGAAAACUACGUCAUUGCCCUUCGUUUGUCCAAAUAUUACAAUAAUGUUUUUUUUUCAACGUAUAAACUAGUUAUUUUAUUUUUAAAUUAACAGUUUUAAUAAUUAACAGGUUGUUACACUGGACAACAAUAUGAAAAACAAAGAUCAAUUUGGACAGAAGUCUGAAAAAUGAAGAAUGUUUUGAUUUUGACAAAAUUAAUCCAAGAACAUUUUGGUUUACAAAUAAUAAAGUCUUCUUUAAUUCAAGAUCGAUAUGAGCUACGAAAAUACAUCAAUCUACAUUGAAAGUCACCAGUAUUCAUUACAAAGGAACAUAUUUAUAUACUGAGGAUCAUUUUGGGCAGAUUCUUUCCAUAUGAUUAGCAAAAAAGCAAAGCAAUGCAUCAAAAAUAAAAAGGAAGACUAAUCCCCAAAGUUGAUGGCUAAAGUUUGCAAAUGCAAACUGGACAAAAAUGAUAAAGUCACUGCAUCACUGACACACAUACAGAAAAGCUUGGCACGCAACAAUUUUUAGAAGUUCAAAAUCCAACAAAUCACGCAAAACAGAAACGAAGAACGUUUUUCAUUUUGACAUCUUUAAUCCAAGAACAUUAUGGUUUUACAAAAGAACAUUGUGGUUAUUCUCUUUUAAAGACAUAAUUAAAAUAUAUCAUUUUCUAUAGUCCAAACCACAAUUUAAAGAUAUCAAGAAUGCUUUAAUCAAUGGUGAAACUCAUAACUCGAGCUAAAUGCCCAAAUGAAGAAAACAACCUCAAGAUUGAUCUCCAAAUUGAUGAGUUGUGAGAAAAAAAACACAAGUACAUUGUACUUACAAUAUUCUAUAGAAAGCUCUGCUUAAUUCUGAUAUGGAAACAAUAACAAAACAUACAUUUGACAGCUCACUCACUCAUUCAUUCACGUUUCCCAUCAAGCCCAAAAGCAAGAACGUUCUUCGAUUUUCAAGAACGUUUCUAGACAACCAUAUAAACACAUGUUUAGUUGCUUUAAAAUAUAUCUAACACUUGGGAAGUGUGCCCAAUGACUAUAUUCAUUUUAAAAUGAAUAUUCAAAGUCUUUUAUCAUCAAUAAAUGGCAGAUCAAUAGGAAGAUGAAGGCAAUAAUUCAAUUUAUAAAUCUACCAACACUUGUUCAAGUAAGAACAAGUCAAAAACUCUUUAAGCAAAAUCCAGCUCUCUUCACUAUAUUUGUUGAUUAUUAUUCACUGAGUUUGUCUUUCAUUUAUCUCAAACAAGCGUUGAAAAGUUUCUAGAUCCCAAACACUUUUAUCAUACACAUCAUUUGUAACUCAAGUCUAUCUUUUAUGUUAGAUUGCAUGUGUUUGUAAAAAUCCUUUCAAGGCUAAAAGGUGAUUGUAAAAAUACUUUCUACGUUGAAAGGUGAAGAUUGUAAUUGAUUCAGGUGUGAUCAAAAGAAAAGGUGUGAAGGAGAACAUUCUUGGUUCUGAAGCACAUAGUAAAAAUCUCACGGUUGUGAGGACUGGACUAGCUCGAGUUGGGUGAACUAGGAUAUAUUGUUGUGUGAAUUCUCUUUCCUUUGUCUCCAUUUAUUUAUCAGUCACUUGAAACUGAUCACAUCGUGAAGUUUUUAUUGUUAUAUUACUAACCAAGAAUGUUCUACGUUUUCUAUUUUCAUAACCAAGAAUGUUCUUUGUUUUCUGUUUUCACAACCAAGAUCAAUCUUGAGUUAAAAUCUUUCAGUUUUAACCAAGAAUGUUCUCUGUUUUUUGUUUUACAAUUCAAUAUUAUCAUGCCCCUAAAGGCCUUAAUACAUAGGAACAUUGCAAGCAUUAUAUUUGUUACAUAUUUGGGCACUCGCGUCAGGGACACAGACAACCCAAUCUUUGAAGGGAAAAUGGCUUUUAUAACCUUCUUCUUAGUUUGGAGUUUGAAAGUAGAAGAAGUGUUAAUCACCUCAUCUAUGACACAAGAGUAAUCUUUCAAAUCGGAUGGCAUUUUGUAUUCCUUAACCAUUUAAUUUUCCCUGCACAUAUUAUAAGAAGGGAAAUAAGAUUGAUACUUAUCAGCCUCUACAAGCCACCACACAAUCUUCUAACGCAUAAAUGGACACUAAUAUUAGGGAUAUAAAACUUCCUUAAAGACAAACACUUGUCGCAGAUUAGCUCGAACACCCCAUAUGAAACCAUCAACCAUCGUUUUAGAGGGGUUAGGAGAUACCAAAACGAUGGACAUGUUUGACUCUCCUCCACUUUUAUAGGGGAAGAAUGCAAUGUGUCAUUACCAGAGGGGCUCUCUACAUUUGUGUCAUUUAAAAUGGAUGUUUUUUAGAUUUCGUGGAGUACAUGCACAAAUAAAAAAUACAAAAAAAAAAAAAAAAGCAGACUUGGCAAACCUAAAUAAGAAAAUAUUGAAGGUUGAAACUUGAUGACAAUUUGAGUAGCACAAGGAUGGAACUUCACUAUAACACUCGUUUCAAUAAAGGAACAAUAACGGUGUUACUAGAGUUUGAUAGGGAAGAAAAUAAGAAGAAAUAUACAAAGGAACAAGAUGAACCUUGGCAAAACACAAACGACUAGGAUGGACCUUGGGAAAAUGUGCAAUCCCCAUAUUACCUAAUGGUGAUCAUUACUUACUAAAACCUAGCCACAUGACAUACUAGAGGAAAAAAAUGUUGAGACAAACAUUUCACACACCCCAUGCAUUUUCCUUUUAAUCACUUCGCUAACUUCACAACUUUUCAAAAUUUCUCGUGCCUCAAAAGUGACAUCAUUUGCUGAUAAGAACACGUCACAUAAAGGCGACACGACUUAACAAUGAGCACAAGAAUUUCAUACGAAUGGAUUUCCUCGGUCCUAACUUACACCCGAGCACUUGUUCCAACGAUAACAAAUGAUGUCCAUUUGUCCUAGUAGUAACAAAGGACAAACAUCUGCCCCAACACCAACAAAUGAGUGACAGACAACUCAAUUUUCUAUUUCAGACAUCUAAACUAGAGCCUUGGGGGCGACUAUUCUAGAACAUACUCAGGAAAAAUACGCGACACCCGUUAGGCCUUAGCCCAAUCUUGUGAAGGCUAACCUCAAGGCAUGUUAUAUCACUGGACUCGUUUGAGGCGCCAAAUUCGCGCCUAGUCCUUUAGGACCGUUGAUCAUUAAUCAACUAGCAGCACAUGUUUCGUGCCAGAUUUCCUGCACCAAAAUAAUCAACUAUUGACUUGAGCAUUGAAGGGCUUGUAGGUACCUAAUAAACUAAAAUUUAGUGCAUUUUUAGGAUUAUUAUGAGCAGUUUUAAAAGCAAUUAUAUGUUAUAUAUAAACUUCUAAUUUAAUUUGCUCUUUAUUAUGCAGUAAAGAUUAAAAAAAUACAAAUUUAAUGUGUAAAUCACUUAAGAUCAAAAUUACAAUUAAGCAUAUAUAUAUAUAUAUAUUAUUUACAUUUUUUUUUAAACUAUUUAUUAUAAUAUAUUAUAGAUUGAUGAAGGAUUGGCAGAAGAUGGAAAGAUAUAUUUUUUUGUUAUUUAGUUUGUUGCUUAAGUUAAGAUUUGCUCUAUCAUAUAAGGAGGAAACAAAGAAUGAAAAGUGGGAGGCGCACAACAUCAUAGAAAAAUUUAGAAACCGACUUUACGUGGGAGUUUGAGAGAAAAAGAAAAUAUACAUUUAGAAAUUUUUGAGUGGUUGGAGUUGGAGAAAAACAUCUUAAAUUUAGGAGCAAAAGUUCAUCUUUUAAAGUUUUAUUUUUGAUCUCUUAGUUUGAUGAACACUAUUAUUAUUUGCUUUAUUUUCUAUAUGUAAUGAGUAACUAAAAUCUCUUAUAGAGACUUUGGUGAAUCUUGUGAUUGAGAUACCUUUUAAUUAUAUAUGUCUUAGUUUUAAGUCUAGUUUUAUUUUGAAUUCUUCUAGGGUCUUCUAUGCACCAACAAUAACUCCGUACCCUUAUUAUCCUUAGACCUUAGAUGCCCACCAAUAGUUCUCCAUGCUCGCCCACGACCCCUCCCACAGUGAACCUUGUUAAAUAGACAAUAGUUAGAAAUGGUUCUGCUGACUUAUCUUCUGCUCUGAUUUACCAAAACGGUGGGAUCGUAACGAUCACAAUGGACAUUCCAUAUCCCCAAAUACCGGUUAGACAAAACUUAUCUUCUUGUGGAGCCUAAAUGUUAUAAGUCGAUUUCCAUUAAACAAGUCUUGCCAAGCAUGAAAUAACAAUAAUCCUUGUCGGGGUUCAAGCAACAGAACAACCUUGUGUGCCCUAUAAACUCGACAGUGUUCUUAACUUUGCUCAUGCGAGCCUAUAUGUUCUAUCAUGUCAUGGUCAUAUCAACCCUAAGCAGUAGUAUAUUCAUAUUUAUAUCAUUCAUCAUCUCUCGAACAAUGUUAAGAUCAAUCCUAUAAUAAACUAUGUAAGACCGGGUAACCUCAUUAAUAACCAUAUGAGUCACUAAUGAGUGUUAGCAUCACACUUAAUUUCAAAAAGGAGGGUCCAAUUGGGUGGCUGAAUUAUGGGAGUAGAGAUCAGUGAUGCCUUUAAGAAAUCAAACACCUUCUUGCAUUUGUCAUCAAAGAUGAAACUGACAUCUUUUUGCAGCAAAUUUGACAGCAGAAGAGCUAUCUUGCUGAAAUCCUUGAUAAAGCACCUGUAAAAACCUGCAUGGCAAAGAAAAGAACGAAUCUCGCAGUUGCAAGAUGGGUAAGGAAAAUUAGAAAUCACAUCAAUCUUGGCAGGAUCCACUUCAAUCCUAUUAUUAGAGAUCACAUGUCCCAAAACUAUGCCUUGUUCAACCAUAAAAUGACAUUUUUCAUAAUUCAGCACAAAGUUAGUUUAAAUACAUCUAUGCAAAACUCUAUCUAAAUUGUUUAAGCAUGCAUCAAAUGAGGAACCAUACAUAGUAAUAUCAUCCAUGGAAACUUCAAUACAAUUUUCUUUCAAGUUAGAGAAAAUACUAAUCAUGCAGCAUUGGAAAGUGCCAGGAGCAUUGCAUAGGCCAAACCACAACCUCCUAUAGGCGAAUGUGCCUAAAGGGCAGGUGAAUAUGGUCUUUUCUUGGUCCUCUGGUGCAAUAUGGAUUUGAAAAUAACAAGAAAAACCAUCAAGAAAACAAUAAUGUGACUUACCAACCAACCGUUCAAGCAUCUGAUCAAUGAAUGGUAAAGGAAAAUGAUCAUUUCUAGCUGUCUGGUUUUGCCUCCUGUAAUUGAUACAUACCCUCCAGCUAUUCUGCACCGUGUGGAGAUAAGUUUAUUAUUUCCAAAAUGCUUCUAUCCAUAGGUAGCAAGCCUUCAUAAAAAUAUUGGAUGAGAAAUUGUUCAGAAAUCUGGUGAUGAGGACAACUUGACACUAAUUUCUUGAAUCUCUCAUAAUACUCAUGUAAUGAUUCCCUGUCAAUAUGCCUAAUGCCACAUAUUUCUUUUCUGAUUGAAGCAGGUCUUGAGGCAAGGAAGAAUUUUUCUAGAAACAAUUUCUUGAGAUCAUUCUAACUUGUAACAAAACCUGGUUGAAGGUAGUAUAACUAGUCCUUGGCAGCAUCUUGGAGUGAAAAUGGGAAGGCUUACAGCUUAAUAUGGUCUUUUGUGAAUCCUUGAGACUUCAUGGUAGAACACACAACAUGGAAUUCCUUCAAGUAUUUGUGGGGAUCCUCAUCUGUAAGACCAUUAAACUUUAGAAACAAGUGUAUUUAACCAAAUUUAAGUUCAAAUGGUACAGUAACUUCAGGAUAUGUGAUACACAAUGCAUUAUAAUUGACAUUAGGUGCAGCAAGUUGUCUUAAAGUUCUAUUAUUCACAUCAACCAUAUUUUGUAGUAAGUUGUCACUUUCACUAUUUGACUUUGACUCAUUAACGCUAGUAUCUCUAUUAAGUCUACCAUGUAAAUGAAAUAUCCUAUCUAUUUCAGGUUCAAGAGAAUGCAUAUUUGCAAAACUAGCCCUAGUAAUGCAUCAUCAUAACAAUGCAAUGCAAAAUCAAAAUUCUGAAAAUUUCAACAAUCUCCCUAUCGCUAAAAUUAAAGUAAAAAAUUGAAAACCCUAUCAAAUAAAAUCCAAAAAAUAUAAAAAUACCACCCAAAAUUCCUAAAAAUCAAAUAAAGGCAACGCAAAUAUUUUUUAGAAUUUUUGGAGAAUAUGAAAAUUCAAAAAUUUGAAAAAGGGUAUAAACGAUGGAAUUUGUGAUUUUGAGCGUCGUUUCCCGUAAUCCGGCCCUUAUAGGGAAGUAAUAUUCCUUGAUUUUUUUUUUAUUUUCUGGUGAAAUUUCGGAGAAAUGCGAGACAAUCGCCUGAAAAUAUGUUUUUUUUUACUAGCAACGUGCGUACGAGUUAGGCACAAGUCUAUCCGACCGGUAGAGCAACAAAAUAGGAAGAAACAAUUGUUAGGAUGGUUAGUAAUACUCUAAAACUGGUUAAUAUUGUUAUAAGAGAGUCCUCGACAACAACACCAAUUUGAUCUGAUGUCGCACACGGGUCAAAUACAAUUGAUAAAAUGUAAAUAGAGGUAAUAACUCGAGUCGUUUCGCAAUGACUUCUGAUAUAAUAAUAUUAACCGAAUUGAAAGCUGAAAUUAGAAAUGGGGUUUUUUAAAUUUUUGUUUUAACAGAUGAGCAAAACGAUUAAUCCACUUAUUCGAGUUUCAGACCUAUCACAGAUUCUAUCAAUGAGUUUAAUUUAUAAUUCGUGAUUCUAUUCUUAUUUGACUAUAGAAUUGAUUAAACAAGCGUAAUCAAUCCUAUGUGAAUUCGGUUUCGUUGGCUGAAUUAAGCAUCACAAUCAUCAACAUAUUACAAUUAACAAUCAAACGUCGUAAUAUUAUAAAUUAAUUAAAUUAGAAACCGAAACUAAAUUUUGUCAAAUGAAUUUAAUCGAUCCUAUUGAAAUUCAAUUUAAGCAAUCAAAAUGUCAAUAUAAUCAAAUAAACAGAAAUAGAAUCAUAAAGCGAAAUUGACAAUGUAACUUGAAUCUCAAGGUGUUGAUGAAACCCUAAACUCGUGGAUUAAUUUUAUAAAAUUAGUCUUCCAUGAAAUUAAAAUAAAAAGUGUUUAUUCCUUGUAACAAUCUGAAUCCUAAAAUUUCAUCCGUAGAAAAGAAAGAAAACUCCCAAUAUAUAGUAUCCGAUCUUGGGCUAUAUAGUGUUUAGGGUUUAACAACAAGUGGCCCGCUAUUUAAAAUUAUUACAAAAGUCCAGAUUAUGAAAUUUGUAAUUUAAGUAUAGUAAAGUUCAGCAUUGGGCUUUUAUUCUAACAUAAAAGUUGUAGCUCUGAUUUUUAGCUUUCCAUUGCCUGCUCAUAUGCGCCUAUCCGAUAUCCAGAGCUCAAGUUAUGACCUGUAGAGCGAGCAAGGGUGAAAAUGCAAAUAAUAAAAUUGUAAUUCAAUUUCAACCCAAAGUUUAAAAGCAAGUUAAAAAAAUCAUUCUAAGCUAUAAAGAGCUUUUAAAAUACCAAAUUAAAAAGUUAGAAACAUGUGCCCAAAUGCUAUGAUCAAAUUACCGCACACUUAAACUGUUGCACUCCGAGUAAAGCAUUGCAUGCGAUUCCAAAUAUUCUUAUGAAUGCAAAGUGGUGAGAGAAAAAAAAAUAUUUCUAGCUUAAGGUAAUCAUGAAUAGUUUUUUUUUUUUUUAUCACAACCAAGGUAAACAAGAGGACAAGUUAACUAAAUAAUGCAUCAUAAAUGAUAGAGUCUUCCCAGGAUAUAAAAUUCUCUCAAAGUGUUUACACUCAAAAUGUUUGGGUUACUGUUUAACUGCCUCUAUAGUUCAAUUUAGAAUCCAAAUUGGUUGGUGUUUGGUGAUUUUAACUUUGUACUUUCCUAAUAUGAGAAAUGGGAGGCAACUUAAUUGAUAAUCAAAUCACUAAUAGCUUUAGGAACUCUAUCCAAUAUUGUAGCUUGCUAGAUUUGGGCUUUAAUGGCAACAAAUACACUUGGUCUAAUAAUCAAAUUAGUUUUGCUCAAACGGGGGAACUGUAGAUUUGGGAAAAUUCCUAAUAGGAUAAAGGAGAUGCAACAUAGAUUAAAUCUUUUACAUCUGAAGAAGCAGAAUUCCAACACUACUGCUCAAAUUAAGAUUACUGAAUAACAUUUGUGUUUUUCAAAGGGCCUUUAUACCUUACAUGCUUAUUAUGGAUACCACUAUGAUUGCUUGUGAGUAUUUUCAUUUUAUGAAUCAUAAGUGUCAUCGCUCAAAGGGCUUUGUUAGUGUUAAACUUGAUAUGGCCAAAGCUUAUGACCGAAUUGGAGUAGGCCUUUUUGAAAAACCCUAUGUUGGUUAUGGGGUUUUCUAGUAAUAUAGUUAAUACUAUUACGAAAUAUGUUUCUUUUGUUUCCUUUUCUAUUCUCAUUAAUGGUUCCCCCACUACUAGUUUUUUUUCUGCAACAUCGUCUUAGAAAAAGAGACCCCAUAUUUGUAUAUCAUUUGUGUUGAAGUGUUCUCGGGGCUUCUUCUUCGUGUGCAAAGAAAUAAUAUUAUUCAUGUCAUUAAAAUUAAUAAACGAGCUUCGAAAAUUACUCAUCAUUUCUAUGAUAACGAUAGUCUUAUAUUUUGCAGAGCAAAUCAACAUGAAGCUAAGGAGCUAUUGCAUAUUUUUGAGUUAUACCAAUCAGCUUCAACUCAACUCAUAAAUCAAAACUAAAAAGAACUCGUUUUCAGCACACACAAAAAAAAAAUUCUUAGAUUCUAAUAGAAGUAGAUUCUCUUCUAUCAUCUCUAUGAAGGAGGUUGAGAGUCAUAGUAAAUAUCUUGGUUUACCCACGACUAUGGGAAGAUCUAAGAAGACUACGUUCAAAUUUAUAUAAGUCAUAAUAUGGAAAAAAAAACUCAAAGGUUGGAAGGAAAAAACUUAUCAUUUGUGGGACGGAGGACUCUUAUCAAAGCAGUGGAGCAAACAAUUCCAACAUAUGUAAUGAGUUGUUUUCUUAUACCUAAAAGUAUUUAUGAAGAGUUGGAGUGUCAUAUCUAUAAUUUUUGGUGGGGAAGCAAAUAAAUCGAGCACAACAUGUGGUUCUCACAAUACGUAAUUUUUUAUAUUUACAUCAUAUUCUAACAAUAGAUAACAAAUAAUUUUAUGUGUGGAUCUCAUGGGUAUACACUAGUUACCAAAGCCGAACCUACUUUUUGAAUUGUGUGAACAAUGACCUACACUUGAUUUGAUUUUGAAUAGAAAAAAAAAAACAUUUUUAGUAUUUAGUACUUUCAAAAAUUGUUAUCACAAAGAGAAAAGUUUAUGUUAUAGAUUUUGCCUCUACUAUAUUUUGAUAUUUUUUUUUUAUAAAAUAUGUGAGUGUUGUUAUAAUCGUUUUGAAAUGUUUUAAAAUUACAAAAAUAAAUCUAUGUUAUUAAUCAUUUUGAUCUUUAAAUAUGUCCACUACAAGAAAUUUUACGUUUAGUGACAGUGAAAAUUCAUAGGUAAAAGCAUAAAAAUCAUAGGGAUAGCCAAAAUUACCUAUAUCGACGGGGUUUUUUUUCGUGGUAUAUAAUUACCCAAUACCUACGAAUUUUCUCCGUGGCUACAGGAUAUAGUGACAAAAAAUUUUCCGUUGCGGUAAAUAUUUGAUUUUACCUGGACAUUUCACCGUUGGUAUAUACUUUAGCCAUAAUUUUUAAAAGUUAUACCUACGGUUUUGAUUCUGUUGCUACACAUUUAAGUGACAACUUAUUUUUGUUGGUAUAGGUUUUAACAGUAACAAAUUUGCUAUAAAUAUUAAUCUUUUGUUAUCAAUAAAAAUUAUAUAAUAAUUUAAAAUUUUAUUUUAUAAAAUUAACCAAAUAUAAAUACACAAAGAAAUAUAUAUAUAUAUAUAUAUAUAUAUAUAUAUAUAUUUAAGAGUCAAAAUAAAAUAAAAAGUGUUCAUCGUAUAUAUUAAAAAUUAACAUAAAAGUCUUACAAUGAUAAAACAAUAGUUAAACAAUGUUCGUCAUAAUGCACUGUAGUGUAUUUUUACUUAGUAGUGGAAAACGUCUUACUAACAUUUAAAAUAGACAUCUUGUCAUACAUAACAAUCUCAAAAAACAUUAAGAAAUUGAAUCCACUAAAUUGCCAAUAUUUCAUCUUCAACAACAAAUUAGCUUUUAAUCUUCACCUACAAUCAAUAAAAUAACAAAUGAAUAAAUACACGGUUUAAUAUAAAAAUAUUACUAAUGAAAUAGAGAAAAUAUUAAUGAUUUUAGUCAAAAUUGACUAAUACUAUCUAAUUACCAUUUUCAUUAUUUUCAUUGUUGUUUGGACUAAGUGAAUUCAAAUGGUUUUGAGCACUAGUAGCAUCAGGAACCUAUCACAAAAAAUAGAAAAUAUUACUUAUGAAAAAUAUGAGUAUGGAACUUAUGAAGCUAGUUUGAUAAGAUUAAUAACUUAUGAUAUACCUGUCUUGCAACUUGUAUUAUAUCAUUCACAUCUUCUCCAGAAAAUCGAUUUUGAAUUAAAGUCAUCACAUUUGCUUACAAGCUUUCCAUAUUCUUAACUCUUUCGCGCAACUCUUCAUUUUCAGAUACACAAACCUUUGAUUUUUUAGAAUGAGGAAUCUUAUCAGGUCCUUGUACUUGAUAAAAUAUGUCAUCCUUCUAAGACAUAGAACCUUGUGUGUCUUGGGUUGAUUGAGAAGUUCUAGCCUCAUUACUAUGUUUUUUUAGUUCCUCCUAAAAAAUAAAAUAAAAAUUAUUAAGGAUUGAAAAUACCAAAUUGAAAUUGACAUUCAAAGCAUGUAGUACUACAAUAAGAUCCAAUUAAAAAACUUCAAUACUGCAUAUAGCUAACAAGUACAACAUCUCCUAAAAGGUCUAGUAAAAAACCAAUAAAAUCAUCAUACAAAUCAAAAUAAAAUUCAACAAUUUGUCAAACUUAAUUUGUACACGUUUUAUAUAUUGAUACCAUUUAAUUAUUAUCAAAACUCACAAUCAAUCUUGCAGCCUUUUCAUUGACAAUUGAUCCGUCUUUACAAGUGCAGGUAUCAAUGUAAAUCUCUUUAUGUCCAGGCAACACUCCUUUGCCCUUUUUUAUCUACAACCAAACAAACAAGUUAAAUGCAUUUCAUUUUUUAAUUCAAAUUAAAGCCAUGAAAAUACAAAUAGAAAUAAACCUUUUUAUCAAUAAACUUUGGGAUAUUUUUUGAACCCAUACAAUGAACAUCUUCAAACUUAGCACGAUUUUGCUUAUUAAUUUUACUUAUUUUCUACAAUUGAUACAAAAUAUUAGUCUAAAUAAUAAACUAUUUAAUAUAUUACUCAUAAUAUAUAUGACUUACUUGUCCUUCCAGAGAUUUCAUCAUCAUUUCUACUAGGUCUAUUGAACCUAGUUUCUACCCCAAAUAGAUAUUGCGAACAAAAUAUCAAACAUUCAUUGACAAAACAUCCUUCUGCAAUUGAUCCUUCUGGAUGAGCUCUAUUACGUACAAAUGACUUAAGAGUAAGAAGAAACCUGAAAGUGAAGAAAAUUUAAUAUAUCUAUGUUGUCAACAUUCAAAAAAACUUGUUUAACACUUUUAAUUAAACCAAUUUUUAUAAACCAUUCAUACCUCUCAAUCAGAUACAUCCAUCGAUAUUGAACCAGUCCAGCAACUUGUGCUUCGUGUGCCAAAUGAACUACCAAAUGAAUCAUAACAGUAAAAAAUGAAGGAGGAAAAAUUGUUUCCAACUGACAACGUGUGAUAACUAUUUGAGACUCCAAUUGUGAUAGAAACUCCAUAUUAACUACCUUAGAACAAAUUUGCUUAAAGAAAUUGCAAAGAUCAACCAACACUGAAGUGACUUUAUAUGGCAAUGAACCCCGUAAUGCUACUAGAAGAAGCUCUUGCAUCAAAACAUGACAAUCGUAACUUUUUAAUCCAAAAAUCUUGUGUUGCUUGACAUGCAAACAAACUGGGAUGUAUGAUGAGCAUUCAUCUGGAGUUUUUACAUUCUUGAGAAUGCUUAGAAAAGAUUCAUUUUCUUUGUUAGUCAUUUGAUAACAUGCUCUAGGCAAACGCGUUGUAGUUAUAUUAGGACUUGGUUGAGGAUGAAUCAUACUUCUUAUGCCCAUAUCUACAAGAUCAGAUCGUACCUUAUAAUUGUCUUUGGAUUUUCCAUAUUGAUUUUCCCUCAAGCACAUAAUGCAAGUCCUAAAAAAUUAACAAGUUGAAAAUUCGAAUGCACAACUUGCUAAGUAUAAUCAAUCCAUUAAAAAAGGAACUUUCAUGGUGUCAUCUGAUUUUUGUCUUUUUAAAAAUGGAAGAUCAUGCAAACAUUAUCAUUAACAAAGCAACUCAGCCACAAUAUCAAAGUGCAACAAACAUUAUCCUGAUUCCGAUGCACUAGCUUCAUCAUACUUCACAAUUCAAACCAAGUGAAGAACAUGAUAUUCAACAACAACAUCAGAUUCAACAACAAUAUUUAAUCAGUACAACUGUGGGAGUCCAUACAAGUUAGAAGGUAAACUUAUUUGUACCAGAGGUAAUUUUGCAAAUGAAUCCAAAAUGACUUCAUGUUUUAAAGCUAAAAUUGGUUCAAAAAGGAUUUUUGGAUAGUUAAUUUUGAAUAAACAAAUUAACUGUAGAAAGACCGUUGAAUUAUAAAAGACACCAAAGUUAAUGAAAAUAAAAAUGACUUAACAAAACAUACAUGAGUAAAAGCUUAAAAGUUAAAUUGCAAAAUGAACUUCAAAUUUGAAUCAACCUUAAUAAAUAAUUGAAUUGGAAUUUUUGACAGAAGGAAAAUAGAAAAAUUUAAUAGAAAUGUAAAGAUGUGAAUCACAUACUUAAGGUUUUAAAAAACACGAAUCAAUUGAAAAUAUUUAGAUUUUAUCUUAAUUGAAAUUCUUUUGCCCCCAUUGAAAAAAUUAAGAUUUUGUCUAAUUUUUUUGGCUUAUCAUGAAAAAUUUGUACAAAAUUAUUUUCACAAACAAUUAAGAUUUUGGCUCCUUUAAAAAUAUCUAUUUUUCAAUUUUGAUGUCUAUAGCCAUGGAUUUAAGCGUGUAACUAUAACAAUUAGUGACAAAUUUAUGUCACUUAAGGUAUAAGACACUUAUACCAACAACAAUUAAUUUAUUUGUAGGGAUAGCUUAUCUAUACUUACAGUUUUUAAUUUUGUCAUUAUAAGCUUCUGUAGGUAUAUGUCUAUUUUUUUGUAGCGGUCAUUUGUUAACUUAUUUAGUCUUUAAAUAUAUUUUUCGUUAGUUAUUUUUGUCUGUAAAGUUACUAACAAAAGAUAUAGUUGAAAAUGUGUUUGAAAUUUUUAUAAAUUCAGAUAUUAUAACAUUUAAAAUAGAAUAGAAAAGAAAUAAAUUGAAAUAUUGCAUACACUUUUAACAAUUUGGAUAUGUUGAGUUAGGCAAUACGGAUGAGUUCGUCUCAGGUUCUUAGAGCAUCUCCAACGGAUGUCAGGUGUAAUUACGUAACCUUCAGUUUUCGGUGAGUUCACUGUUGGAGAUAUGCCAAGUUGUCAUCACCGUUCUCUCACGAAGGAACGAUACUUUGACACGGUUAUUUUUUUAUUAUUAAUUUAUGAAUAAUAAUAAAUAAAUGAUACACAAAAGCACAAUAUAUAUAUAUAUAAAAAACCAAUGCCAACAGCAUCUUAAUAAGUGUAGUCUAAUGAAAGCCAAAAUACAGCAUCGUUAGCUUUUCUUGUCGAAACAAGAAAAAAUCCACAUUAUUAAACUAUUCACAUUCCACGGUUUGAAUUAUCCGCGGAUCCUAGUUUUGAGAUUCCGCUACGUGUUUGCUUCUAGUUUUUCGUGGCAUCUUCUUAGUUUUUGCUUGUCACGAAAGUAAGCUCAAGAUAAUGAUGCUUUUGUCCUAUUGGUGUCCUCUCAUAAUACUUAACAUAAAUAUUAUGAUUGUAUUCGUGAGUUGUAAAAUAUUGGGAAUCUCUGCCUCUCUGUUAUUAUAAUUUUGAAUACUUAAUUAAUAAGAUGAUGUGCUAGCUGGCUGUUGCUUCUUGGCUAUCAUCAUAUAUGCCAUGUGCAUUGUUGGGUGGUUUAUGGUCAUACAUAUUCACACAGUCCACACAACAUAUUUGUACUCUUAUAAUAAACUUUUAGGUGAGGGUUAUUUAAGUAAGAGCGAUAUCAAAUUUGAGUUGACAUCUUCCCCAAUUUGUCAACAAGAAAAUAGAGAGUUUAACCAUUUAAUAUUUAAUUAAUAUUUAAUAUUUAUUAAUUUAUCUAUCUCCAAGUUAAAGAUUACAGAGUUAAAUUAAAUAUUUAAUGAUUAAGUUAUUAAAUUAAUGAUAUUUUUUAGAAGUUAAUCAUAUUUUAAGGUUUUAAUAAUAUCACGUCAUAAAAAAAAAGUAAUUUGACACAUGGAUUUUUUGUUUAAAAAUAAGGAAUAAAAUUGAGAACAAAAAAUAUUUGAAAGACAAAAAUAUAUGCAAGUUGCUUAGAUGUUUCCAAAAAUUCAAUCAAGCAGUCCCUUUCUUUCUGAAAAUGAUUGAUAUUUUAUAAAAUGAUUUCUAAUUUUAAUGUGUUUGGUUCGAGAGUAGUAAAUCGGAUUUUUCAUGAGGUUUAUAGCACUAGUGACGCGCAUAUGACUGGAACAACUUUAAGAUGAAAUCCAUAAUAAUUUAACUGAUGUUUCACCCAAAUAAUUUGAGUACAACAAGUAUUGACGAUAACAUAUUCUAUUUUGACAAUGGACAAAGUCACACCGGCUAGUUUCUUACUAAAUCAAAAUCCAAGUACUAGACCAAAGUGAAAUAACCACCUUUAGUGUACCAUCAACACAUAUUUUGUGUACUAAUGAGGUAUCUCAUUAUGUGUUUGGCAGCAUAAAGAUGUGAGUCUUUUAGAUUUACUUGAUAGCAAGCACACAUACACUCACUGAACAUAUUAUCAGGACAAUUAGCACUGAGAUAGAGGAGAGAACCUAUCAUAUCUCUAUACUCAUUUACCUCAAUCAACUUACUUCAUUUAUCUUUAUUAUUAAGAUAACAUGAAGUGUUCAUUGGAGGUCUUCAUUGGAGUUAAGAUUUCUUUUGUAUUUUGUAUUAUAAAGUUAUUGAGCAAUUUCUUGCAAUAUAUAGUUUGAUUUAUGAAAAUCAAACAUAAUGAUUAUUAGUUGCUCCAAAAAUAAUAUUGGUCACGUAAAUAUGUACAAGAAAAUGUGGUGCUUUAAAUUUUAUAAAAAAAAGAGUUGUAUAAAAAUUUCUUCUUUCAAAACCAUUUUUAAGUAAAAAUUUUCUCGAGGAGCUUGUUGUAGACCAUAUAAAGCAUUUUUUUUAAUUUAGAAACAUGAUUGUACCAUUUGGCAAAAAACUUUACUUUAUUUUUUAUAAAUCUGAAUCAAAUCUUAUUUUAAAUUUUCUUCAAUUAUAAAUCUGAAUCAAAUCUUAUUUUAGAUUCUUCAAAACAUGAAUUUUCUUUCAUACUCUGUGAUGUUAAAUAUAUUAUUCUCAUAAAAUACUUUUGUUAACAUCAAAACUCUAAGUAUAAAACCAAAUUGAUUCAAACAAUACAUUUUUACAAAAAAACUAGUUGCUUCAUCACUUGAGUCAUGUUGAUACGAACUACUAUUGUUGAAUCCUUCAUCCUCCUUAUAUUUUGAGGCUGAGCCAAUCUAGGAUAUACUUUUGUUUUUCUUCUUUUACCCUUUUUCUUCACGCGCACUUAACCAGUUCAACUUUUUCCCAUGUUCUUGUAACUUGUGAAAUAGGGUUUUUGUGGUCAUUAUUUCUAAGUUCAUUGACUACGAAAUCACUGUUACCUUAGGUUUCCAAUACCUACUUAAACAUCUUAACACUUUAUUUAUUAAAUCUUCUUUUGAAAACGUUUUACCUAGACAAUUCAAAUGAUUCACAAUGUGUUUGAAAUGUUUAUGCAAAUCCACAAUGGUUUCACCUUACUUCAAACUAACCAAUUAAUACUCUUGUGUUAGUGUUUUAAUUCGAGUAUAUUUUAUUUUUUGCAGUAUCAUCAUGUGCAACCACUAAAGUGUCCCACAUUUGUUGGGUAGUUUUUCAAUGAGAAAAUUUAUAAUAUUUUUCUUAUCUUAAAGUAGACGUUCACACGAUAAUAUUUUUGACUUUUCAAUCAUAUUGAACUUUCUUUUAGUCUAAAUGAAUUCAAUCCAUUUCCAAUUUAUCAAUGGCAAUUCCAUCACAGACAAUUGUUAAAACAUAUCGACCUUUUUUAAUGGCUACCCAAUAAUCUAAAUCAUAAGAAAUGAUAUCGAUUUUUCAUCUAUUCUUACCGAUAUGGAUAUCCAUAACCUCUAAAGAUUUGUGCUCUAUUAAAUGCUCCCUUAGGCUUUAGAAUCACGUAAGAAGACAUCUUAGUACUCUUAAAGUCAAUUUGACUUGUAUUAAAUAAGAGACCAAACUCUUAAUGCUAUUUGUUAGAUGAGACGGUACAAAGACUCUUGAUGCCAUUUGUUAAAAGAUAGUCAUAUCCUUUUUUAGAGUUUCAAACUAAAACAUUUUUAUAUAAAAAAAUUGAGUGUCACUAUUCAAAUUGGAUUGACACAUAGGAAUUAAGUAAUAACAAAUUCAUAAAGAGUAAAUUUCAAAUUUGCACAAAAAAAAAUUAUUAAUUGAUUAAAAGAUAGAACUUUAAAUAAUCAAAAUUUUCAUAUAACAAUCAACAUUACGAAAUAUAGAAAAAAAAUAGAAUUUACAAAGAACAAAUUUUAUAUAAAAACAAAAAACAAUGAUAUAUCUAUCCUAGUUCAUGGUCUUCACUAUGUAGAGAAUGUGCAUAUAUUCUUCUACAUGAAUGAAAGUUUCUUCAUUUAUUUAUAAAUAUAAAUAUUUAUAAAAAUCUAUCGACAAUUGAAUUAUAACACUUGUACAGACAAUCAGUUCUUUCCUAAACUCUAAAGAACCAAAAUUUUAUGCAACAUCUUUGAGAAAAUUUGAACCAACACCUUUAAAUUGAAACACCUCUUCAAUCUUGAAAGUCCUUGAACCUUACAGUAAACACUAACUCUAGUAACUUGAAUAAAUCUUUCUUUUCAAUCGUAUCAAUCUUGUAAGCUAAUUCAUUCAACUUUCAAGGAGUUUAGUAAGUCAAUUCACAUAUUAAGGAUAUCAAAUCAUCUAUUUAAUACAUACUAAAUUGUAACAACCCUCUCACUACCUUAAAAUUUGGUAAGAUUUAAGUACUAAUUAUAAUUAUUAGAAUUUUAUUAAUUGUUAAUGUUGUAUUUUUAGAAAUAUUAAAAUAAGAUCAAGGGUAGAAUGAGAAAGUAGUAGCAUUAACAAGUCCAUGUGGCAAUGAAAGAACAUGCCACAUUCUCUCUCUCUCUCUCUCUCUCUCUCUCUCUCUCUCUCACUCAUGGUCACCUUUAACUAACAAAAACCUCCAUUUUAUUUCACCACCCGCUGCACCCUCUUUUCCACCAACAAAUCUCACUUUCUCUCAAUACAUUCUGAAAGCAACAACACUGUUAUUGUUCAUCAUCUCCCUCAUCCAUCAAUUUUCUUCUUGUUUACAAAAUCCUUCAAAGACAAAAGUUCUCUAAAAUCUUUAACACUUUCCUGACUACUUGCAUGUCCAUUUCUUCCUCUCGAGAUCCAUUAAUUGACCAAAGUAACACUAAAAAAAGAUACGGAGCAAUAUCUGGGGGAUCAAAAAAUUCAAACCAGAGUAUAAAGGGAAGAAGAGCUAAGAGUUGAGAAAGCAAUAAAAUUCCACAACUAGUUCGAGGUAUAGGAAUCCCUUCUUGGCAGACUGUGAGUUCUUUUCCCAAAAUUGUUUUCACAUUUUUCAUGUGAGUUUUCUGAAUUCGAUUUAAAUUUAAAUUUAUGUUAGAAAUAAUUUUCAAGGUUUGAUAUGGGGUUUUAUUAAAAUAUGAGAGUGAAGGAAAAAUUCAGAGUUUUAACAUGUAGAAAAUGUUUGAGAAUAUGCCAUUUAAUUGCUCUUUAAAUAAUGCAUUCUGCAAUUGUUUCUUCUCUUUUGCCUCUGAUUUCCCUUUUUAUCUUGCCUUUGAUUCAGUUUCCUCUAGAUGCCUCUGAUUCUGUUUCCUCUAGCUACCUCUAAUUUUGUUUCCUCCAGCUGCCUUUAUACACAUAUCCUUUGAUUCUGCCUUUGGACAUGUAUCCUCUAAUCUGUCUUUAGAUAUGUAUCCUCUAAUUCUGCCUCUGGAUAUAUAUCAUCUGACUCUGUCUUUGGUCACAUAUUUUCUGACUCUGACUAUGCUGCCAAUGACCUAUAUGCUUCGGGUCAUGUUGCCUCUGGUUAGAGUUUGUCUUUGGUCAUGCUUCCUUUGAUCUGUUACUCCAAAAUGCACUGCCUCUGGUCAAGAGUUCUGCCUCUGGUUCCAACUUUGAUCAGGGAUUUGGGAUUUGAUUCCCACUUGAUCACUCAUGGUCACCUUUAACUAACAAAAACCUCCAUUUUAUUUCACCACCCGCUGCACCCUCUUUUCCACCAACAAAUCUCACUUUCUCUCAAUACAUUCUGAAAGCAACAACACUGUUAUUGUUCAUCAUCUCCCUCAUCCAUCAAUUUUCUUCUUGUUUACAAAAUCCUUCAAAGACAAAAGUUCUCUAAAAUCUUUAACACUUUCCUGACUACUUGCAUGUCCAUUUCUUCCUCUCGAGAUCCAUUAAUUGACCAAAGUAACACUAAAAAAAGAUACGGAGCAAUAUCUGGGGGAUCAAAAAAUUCAAACCAGAGUAUAAAGGGAAGAAGAGCUAAGAGUUGAGAAAGCAAUAAAAUUCCACAACUAGUUCGAGGUAUAGGAAUCCCUUCUUGGCAGACUGUGAGUUCUUUUCCCAAAAUUGUUUUCACAUUUUUCAUGUGAGUUUUCUGAAUUCGAUUUAAAUUUAAAUUUAUGUUAGAAAUAAUUUUCAAGGUUUGAUAUGGGGUUUUAUUAAAAUAUGAGAGUGAAGGAAAAAUUCAGAGUUUUAACAUGUAGAAAAUGUUUGAGAAUAUGCCAUUUAAUUGCUCUUUAAAUAAUGCAUUCUGCAAUUGUUUCUUCUCUUUUGCCUCUGAUUUCCCUUUUUAUCUUGCCUUUGAUUCAGUUUCCUCUAGAUGCCUCUGAUUCUGUUUCCUCUAGCUACCUCUAAUUUUGUUUCCUCCAGCUGCCUUUAUACACAUAUCCUUUGAUUCUGCCUUUGGACAUGUAUCCUCUAAUCUGUCUUUAGAUAUGUAUCCUCUAAUUCUGCCUCUGGAUAUAUAUCAUCUGACUCUGUCUUUGGUCACAUAUUUUCUGACUCUGACUAUGCUGCCAAUGACCUAUAUGCUUCGGGUCAUGUUGCCUCUGGUUAGAGUUUGUCUUUGGUCAUGCUUCCUUUGAUCUGUUACUCCAAAAUGCACUGCCUCUGGUCAAGAGUUCUGCCUCUGGUUCCAACUUUGAUCAGGGAUUUGGGAUUUGAUUCCCACUUGAUUUUCAAUAUAUUGUUAAGUUAUUAUAAGUGUUAUAGAGUAAUGAUGCAUUUCAAGUGCAUUACAUUCUCAUUAAUCAGAUCAUGCAUGACCUUAUUUUCGGUGGGACAUUCAGAUUUGUUCCAGGCAUGGAACAAUAGGUAGAGGAGAACAAUUAGGACGCUAGUUGGGGUUUGUUCAGACCAUCUUUACCAAUCAGGAUUCAAUUUUUUUGGUGAUCCACAUCAAGAUAUUAGGUGACUUAAAAAUAUUUGUCAGUAUCUAAUCACCAUCACACAAUGAUCUGUAAAUUUGGUAGAAUAUGUCUCAAUGACAUAACCGCCUCAACGAAUAUCCUUCUCCUGGGACGCUACAAUAAAAGUGUCGCUCUCACUACAAGUAAGGUACACAUUCAUUUUUACUUCGCACUCCCUCCAACUCUUAUUUACUUGGGCAUCAUACUGCUUGCAGGUACACCCCCUGCUCUAGAUCAACGUUGAUAUUAGUUCUUUUAGUAUGAAUACAUGCACUCUUGACCAGACACUUGUCUUUAUGCUAGAAGACCCACUUGCCUUUAUGAGUUGAAAUAUUUUAAAAACUAACAUAAUAAAGGGAUAUCCUUGUGUGAUUUGAUUGGAUGUACAUGUCCAAAUUUUUGCAUUGUUUAUGCAUAAAAUAAAAUUGCAAAUAAGAAUAGUAAAAUCAAAUCCACUAUGAGUUGGGACAUUCUCCGUCUAUAUUUUAAUAUAAAACCUAAUGAUUAAGAAAAUUAAAAACACACUAACAAUACACGAAUAUUUCAAAAGCCAAUGAGAAAUAAAUAAAAAAAUCUUAAUCCUAAAAACAAAUUAAUUUAUUCUACAAAUGGCAUCUGUUCAAGAAUAAUGCAAAAUUUAAAUUGUUUAAUCUCAUUCAUCUACAAAAAAAAAAAAAAAAAAAAACGUGUUGGUGUUCUCUUAUAUCAUUUAUAAGUGGUAUUUGACGUGACCAAUUCAACCACAUGUUGACAAGUCAUAUGAAAGACUAAAAAAUUAUUAAAUUUGGUGAUAGUCUCUUCAUAAGCCGCUUACUCAAAAUACAUGCAACGAGUCAUUUGACUUUGUGUACACCGCACCUAAACGAGAAAACCAACAACACCAUACUAUAAUAAUGAAUAAAUCGAUGUUGUACUAGAAAAAAAUAUUAUAUAUAUAUAUAUAUAACACAAAACUUAAUCAAUGUGAAAAAGCAUUUAUUAAAAAAAUAAAAUGAUAAAAUAAUUUAGAGGAGAGAGGAGGCGGCGGCUUUUGUAGUGGUUAGUAGUUAAUAAUUAUUUCAUUAUAAGAAUGUUAACAGUUAUAUACAAAUGUUUUCUAUUUUUUCAUGGUAAAUAAAUAUACAAUUCCACUUGCAAUGACAUAUAUAAAUAUUAAGUUGCCUAAGUAGGACAUUAGGAUAGGUGGUUUCAGCAAAACAUGGAACUCUACUAGCCGGGUUAUCAUAUGGGCAGUAACUUCAAGGUACUUAUUAAUCUGAUAAAAAAGGUGCAUAAUAAGGACAACAUUGUUUCUUUCAUUAACUUAAUUUUAUAUACUUAAUCUGUUUGUUCUACCCUAAAAGUUUUCAUGAGUGGACACCCCUUUAGAACAUCCUAGUAGAGGAAACAAAUUGUUAGAUUGGAUAAACCAUUAUGUGGUCACAACAUGAGGACGGAAAAGAACCAAAACUUUGCCAUGUCUCCAUUAUGAAUUAAAAAGAUUAAUUAAUUAAAUAAAACAAGAACCAGGUUAAAUUAAAUUAAAACUCAGCCAAUGGGAAGGAUGGGAGGUGAAGUGCUUUUGCCCGAUAAUAAAGCAGAAAUAAAUUGGAACUUAAUGCAUGACGUGACUCUUAGUACCAAAAGCUAAUGAAGCUAGCUAGGGGUAUAUGCUAAAUAUUUGUAUUAUUUAUAUUUUCCAUAGAUCUGCAAUGCUCGAGUGGUCAUAUAAAAUAUGCUUUCAACAUUGUAUCAUAUGCUGAGUCCUUUUUCCUUUUUUGCUUAUAAAAACAAUAUAUGCCGAAUCUUUUCCUUUUUUAUUAUUCAAUCAAUUUAUUAUAAAAAAUUAAAUUCUUAAUAUGUAUAUAAAGUCUAAUUAUCAAUUUGUUUGAUCUUAUUCCUUUUACAGUAAGAUUAUUAUUAAAUUCAAGUUCAAUGCAUCUGAAUACAAUGUAAAGUUCAUGGUUACUAUAAUAAUGGUAGUAAUUAAAAAGUUUAGAUAGUGGGAAAUAUCGAAUCACUAAAUCAUAUUUCAAAAGAAAAUAAUUUCAAAGGGUAUGUUCAUGUCUAAUGGGUGAUUAUGAAAUUCACGAAACCAGAUUUGCAAAUCUAAAAUUUUCAGUGCAUUUGCGACUGAAGAAUUUUCAUUUUCUUGUUAAUAUCGACUAUAAUUCAAGUUUCUAAUUCUAUCACUAUUUAUAGAUAUAAAAAAUAUAAUAAUUAUUAAAUUGUUGUUUUGCAAAAUUACUGGGUUUUAUAUAUAUAUAUAUAUAUAUAUAUAUUCCUUUUUUAUAUAUAUCUUAAAAAAUAUAUAAUAAAAUUCUCAAUUUUUUUAACUGAGGUAGCAUUUUGAUCAACGAUUAUUUUAUUUUUCUCUGUUGUAUGAAGUCGCAUCUCAAAAUACAAAUGUUAAUAUAAUUUUAAUUUUUUUAUUUUUUAACUAUUUUAUAUUAAAGGUCAUAGAUAUCGCAUUUUAUGAUGUGAAAUAGUCGUAAGACGGAGACGGCUUCUUGAAAUUCAAAAAAAUAAAAUAAUUUAAAUAAAAUGCGAUAUAUUGGUCAAUUUUUUUUUAAAAAAAGAACGAUAUGUAAUAAACCAAAUCACUGUGCUAGAUUCAUAAAUUUUGUACGGAGAUUCAUAAUUUCUUAUAAACAUCAAUAUUUGUACUCACCCUAUGUGUAUUUUUUCUUUUUUUGUGAUACACCCUAUUUGUACUUUAUUUCUUAUUUUCAACGAUUAUACGUAACAUGAUAAUUUGUUUUAUAAAUAUUUUAUUUAAAAGAUAAAAAAAUAAAGAUGGAAUUUUUAUAGUUAUUCAAAAUAAUUUAAAAAAAUUAAUGUUAUUAAAAAACAAAAUUUGAUAUUAAUUAUAAAUAUAAUAGCAUAUAAAAUAUAACAAAAAUUAUAUUUUAUUUUUAUAAAAUAUUAAAGUAUUAUAUUUAUGUUAAAUUUUAUAUUCCAACAGUAUUACAAUUUUAAAAAACUAAAACGGAGAUGAAUGAUAUUGCCUUGUAUAUAAACAAAGUGAUAAAAAAGAACCAAUAAUAAUAAAAACUUGUAAUAUCAGUAAACCAAGAAAUUUUUAUUAAAAGUAAAUAAAUAAAGAUGAAUAGGUGAAAAUUGUCAUAGUUCAAAGUGGAUAAAAUACUAUAAGUUUGUUGAAUUUUGUAUGAAUUUUUCUUUUCUAUAUAAAUAAGUAAAACAUGAGCGCCAUUUUUUCUAAAAGAAUGAGUGUAUUUCUUGUUUGGUCCAUAUUUAGAUGGGAAGCACAACUAACGAAACAGGCUAGUGAAGUAGCUAAGGACCAAUCCAACGAAAAUUUCUCCUCCCACAGAGACUGAUCCAAAAAGCGAUCAAAAUGUGGGUCUAAAAAGUUUAUUAUUAAAUGUUGCAUAACAUUGAUCUACCAUAAUAGAUAUCUAUUAUCUAAAGAUUCAAUUUAAACUUUGUUAAAUAAAAAUUACUUUAUAUAUAUUCACAAUACAAAUAUAACCACAUGUCAUAUUUUUAGCUUCUAAAAGAACCACGUAUCACGAUUUACAGAAAAGUAUUCAUAUAUGAUAACAGAGAUAUUUUUAUAUGCAUUUAAAAAAAUAAUAUCGACCUAUUUAAAUGGUGAUGGUUAGAAUAUUUUAUUUAAUCAUUAUAUUUUAAUAUUAUAACGUCUGACACAUAUCUCUAUUUAAUUAUAUUAACUAUUUAUCAAAUUAAAACUCUUAAUUGAUCUAUGAUUAAAAUAAAUAAUACAGUUAAUUAGAUUUUUAAUUAUAUAAUUAAUUAAAAUUUUAUAUAAUUGAUAUGAGUAAAUGGUGUUCUAUUUGAGAAUAAUUAUAAUUCAAUAGUCAUUAUUCUAUAUAUACCUAUAUAUACAUUGGUUCCAAUACCUUACACAAGUAAACUGUCUCUUUUCCCAAUCAAUGGUUAAAUUUUUCGGUGCUUCCUGUCUUUUGAGGCUUUUAAUAAAUUCCAAUUCAUUUGAACCUUAAUUUGUGAAAAUCAGGAAUUCUGGAAUUCAUCUUUACAUUUGAAUUGAUAUAUGAUUCUCACUGUGAAUUGAAUUUUACUGAUUCUGAAACCACAACCAAUGUGUAUUUAAAAAAAUUAUGAUUGCAAUAUGCCUGUCUAUAUAUACGUAUUUUGCUGGAAACCUAGUUAUAAAUAUUAAUUUGUGCAUCUUUGGAUUAUUGGUAAUAUGUUAUUGAUCGAAACUUCAUUGUAUUUGACUAUUUUUUCUUCAAAAUUCGGUGAUUGUUUCGAUGUUUCUGAAAGAAAAAAGGUUUAUAUUGAUUGUACUAAAGGAAUAUAUUGCAUCACUUUAAUUUUCAGCCUAUUGUACGAUAUAUGAACAAAAUUUGAUUCAUAGAAAAUCUAUUGAAUUGACUUUAAAAUUAUUUUUCCUUCUAUCACGAUUGAAUGAAAAAAGAAAAAAAAAAACAUUUCAGAUAAAGUAAAUUGACUUUCAUGGUAGAAGAAGUUUUGCAUUUAUAUUCCGCUAGGCAUGAAUGGAUUUUGUCUUAUUAAAAAUCAAUUCAUUUUUUAUAUGUUGGUGAAUGCCUGAAUGGUAUGCAAAUAAAGUUUGGAUUAAUUUUUAUAUAAUUUUGCUAUUUGGUUAUUAUAAUUAUUUGCCUCUGGCAUAUAAAACUAAAGGCACAAGCUAAUAUCAUGUGCAUCAAUUUAGUUUGAGAAUAAUUUUAUUCAUAUAUAUUUAUGACAUAACCAGCUAUAUUUUUUAAGAAACUAUGUCAAUUAAUUUUUUGAACGGUUUCAGAAUUAAUUUGUUUCCAUUGGUAUUUAAGGCACUUUUUUUUAUCAAUGGUAUUUAAAGAAAUAUAUGUUACGAUUAUCAACCUGUGAAUCUUUACAAGACACUCCAGUUUGCACCUUUUAAUUUUUGGUAUAUUUUUAUUUACAAUUUCUUUACAGAUGAAGCACAUAAUACAACAAAUAUGGAUGGAUAAUUAUUAUAAUGUAGGAAAAUCAAUUUUAUAAAUGGAUCACAAAGUUUUAUGGCUUCUGAGCUGUAAACAUAAUAAAAGAGUUCUGGAUUUUGCAUGAGUAAUUUGUAAGACCGCAUGAGGUGCAAAGGUCUUUAAUUUCUUCCUCUUUUAAAAAGCCAUAGCCUUGAGAAGUCCUCUGCAAACAAAAAGUCCUUUCAAUCACCUUGUAUGGGAUUCAUGGGAAACUAAUGAAAUAGAUGAAGUGUUGCUAAAUAGCAACUAUAAUAGCACUAUAUAACAUAGCAUAAUUUGAAAAAAUUGCUAUUGUUCUGUGCUAAGUUAUUUAGUACAAAUGUUGUUAAAUAGAGGAUAUAGUGGUGCUAUAACACUUGUACAUAACGGAAUUUGAACAAAUUAUUAUUUUUCGUGAGUGACAUAACUGUCUUAUUUAUGGACUUAUAGAUUAUCAUGUAGUCACUACAAAACAUAACUCACAACAAAAUGGAAGCUCAAUGAACAUCUUCAGAAUGCAAGAGUUUGACACCACAGGUUAUUAUGACAAAAGAUCAAAGAUAAUUAUUAUCAAGAGCUUACCUCUCUGAAGGGGCGUAAAAUCCACGGAGUUGAUGAAGUAUAACGAAGAAAAGUGGUUCCGACAAAUACUCCACCACUUCUUAGUACACGGGUGAUUUCAGCAACCUUCAAGAAGUUUAUAUUUGGCGUGACAUUAUUCAAAUCACAUUCAUAUAAAGUGUGAAAUAGAAAUGAGUAAGAACAUGCAAAUCACAAGGAUAAGGCAACUAUGUUGACAAAAAAAAAAACACACAAAUCUAUAUAAUAAGGAAAUGGCAUCCCAUGUCUAAAUGUGGGAGUUGUGUUUUGUCCAACACACCCUCUCACGCCCAACACUAUUGGUUACCUAAAUCAAUAGACUUUGAUACUAUGUUAGGAUUUUAUUUUGGACCGAACUCAUCCAUCUAAAUCCGGAUUGUAAGGUUAGGUGAGGGGUGCCUCAUUUUUCAGGCCUUAUCUUGAGUUUUUUAAAUUAACUUUGAUGAGAAUUGGGGGGAAGAAAUUGAGAGUAGUGCAUACAACCUAAACACCUAUAGACAGCUGCCGGUGGAGAUAUAUACAUUACAUAGCUACAUAAUAAUUGAAUUCUCAUUCGAAGAUAGCGAUUGAUACGAUUAGGCCAAAGCCUAUUAUUAAAAAUGUAUAUAGAAGAGGGAAUAGGAAGGUUUGGUUGAAACCUUCCUAAUUGCAAUUCUCUGACAGUUGUACAAAAACAGUUAGCAGUUAGGAAUACUAUAAAUAGAAUGUUAGUUCUAAUUGAGAGUUAGUUAGAGAUUGGGAAAGUUAUCACUGGUUGUGGAACCAGAACAGGAUUGCGGGAUCCUCUGUAAUUCCUUCAUCCCUUCCAUUCUAUUCAAUUCAAUAAAGUUCCAUACUAAAACCUAAUCAAAAUCACAUUGAUUCUGGGUUAGGGUAUUGAUUCUUGAUUCAUUCUUUCGUUUGGGAUCUCACACGCUGCUGCCAAUUCUGGGUGCCUGAGGGUUUGGGAUCUCACACGCUGCUGCCAAAUUGCUUAUGGUUGUUACGAGGAGGAUGGCUAGAGAAGAUGAAAACUGGACCCAAGAACGUGAAGAAUUACGUCAAGAACGAGAAGAUAUGCGCAAUCGUAUAGAGAUGAAUGAGACGCGAUUGAGAAGGACAGAGACGUCGUUAGAGGCGAUAGCAACCAAAUUAGGGAUUAAUGGAGAAAAUGUUUCCAUGGGAGACGAAAAUGAGAACGAGGAAGAACACCACAGUCGCCCACAACACAGAAAUCAUGAUAGGUGGAGAAAACUGGAAAUUCCAGUUUUUUCUGGGGAUGAUGAGGUGAAUGAUUUAGAAGGAGAAGAUGAGAUAGAGACACUAAAUUCCUUGCAAUUAUCAAUGUACUCCAUGACAGGACUCACAACUAGUAAAUCAUGGAAGGUAGGAGGAAUAAUAAAAGAUAAACCUGUUGUGAUAUUGAUAGAUUGUGGGGCAUCACACAAUUUCAUUGCAAAGGAUUCAGUGGACAGGUUGAAACUGAAAGUAGACGACACUCCAGCCUAUGUAGUAGAAGUGGGAGAUGGCCAUAAAGUUCAAAAUAGAGGAAAAUGUACCCAGCUCAAACUAUAUUUACAACAAUUAGAAGUUAUUCAAGACUUCUAUUUGUUUGGAUUAAAAGGAGUGNNNNNNNNNNNNNNNNNNNNNNNNNNNNNNNNNNNNNNNNNNNNNNNNNNNNNNNNNNNNNNNNNNNNNNNNNNNNNNNNNNNNNNNNNNNNNNNNNNNNNNNNNNNNNNNNNNNNNNNNNNNNNNNNNNNNNNNNNNNNNNNNNNNNNNNNNNNNNNNNNNNNNNNNNNNNNNNNNNNNNNNNNNNNNNNNNNNNNNNNNNNNNNNNNNNNNNNNNNNNNNNNNNNNNNNNNNNNNNNNNNNNNNNNNNNNNNNNNNNNNNNNNNNNNNNNNNNNNNNNNNNNNNNNNNNNNNNNNNNNNNNNNNNNNNNNNNNNNNNNNNNNNNNNNNNNNNNNNNNNNNNNNNNNNNNNNNNNNNNNNNNNNNNNNNNNNNNNNNNNNNNNNNNNNNNNNNNNNNNNNNNNNNNNNNNNNNNNNNNNNNNNNNNNNNNNNNNNNNNNNNNNNNNNNNNNNNNNNNNNNNNNNNNNNNNNNNNNNNNNNNNNNNNNNNNNNNNNNNNNNNNNNNNNNNNNNNNNNNNNNNNNNNNNNNNNNNNNNNNNNNNNNNNNNNNNNNNNNNNNNNNNNNNNNNNNNNNNNNNNNNNNNNNNNNNNNNNNNNNNNNNNNNNNNNNNNNNNNNNNNNNNNNNNNNNNNNNCAGAAAUUGAGAAACUUGUAGCUGAAAUGUUAGAUGUUGGGGUGAUCAGAAACAGUAUUAGCCCUUAUUCUAGCCCUAUCAUUCUAGUGAAGAAAAAAGAUGGAGGUUGGAGAUUUUGUGUGGAUUAUAGGGCACUCAACAAGGUCACCAUUCCAAACAAAUUUCCAAUUCCUAUAAUUGAAGAGUAGUUAAAUGAAUUGGGAGGAGCAAAGGUUUUUUCUAAACUUGAUUUGAAGUCAGGUUAUCAUCAGAUACGGAUGAGAUUGAAAGAUGCCGAGAAGACAGCAUUUAGGACUCAUGAGGGGCAUUAUGAAUUCUUAGUUAUGCCUUUUGGACUCACUAAUGCCCCCUCCACGUUUCAAGCUUUGAUGAAUGAGAUCUUGAAACCAUAUUUGAGGAAAUUCACACUAGUGUUUUUUGAUGACAUUUUAAUAUACAACCCUGAUUUGGAAUCCCAUAAAGACCAUUUACAAGUCAUCUUAACAGUGUUAACUGAGAAUAAGUUGAAGGCAAACUUCAAGAAAUGCAGCUUUGGUCAAACAAGUAUUGAGUAUUUGGGCCAAAUCAUUUCAGGAGAUGGUGUUUCUGCUGACUGUUCUAAAGUGGAAGCUAUGAAGUCUUGGCCGCAACCAAGGAAUAUAAAAGGGUUCUUAGGGCUCUCAGGUUAUUAUCGAAGGUUUGUUCAGAAUUAUGGCAAGAUAGCAUAACCUCUGACAGAUUUACUCAAGAAAGAUUCUUUCAGUUGGACUGCAGAGGCUACAUCUGCUUUUGAAAAGUUGAAGGCUGCUAUGGUAUCUCUACCAAUGUUGGCAAUACCUGAUUUUAAUAAGGAAUUUAUAGUGGAAACUGAUGCUUCCAGCAAAGGUCUAGGGGCAGUUUUGAUGCAAGAGGGAAGGCCUUUAGCAUUUUGGAGUAAAGGGNNNNNNNNNNNNNNNNNNNNNNNNNNNNNNNNNNNNNNNNNNNNNNNNNNNNNNNNNNNNNNNNNNNNNNNNNNNNNNNNNNNNNNNNNNNNNNNNNNNNNNNNNNNNNNNNNNNNNNNNNNNNNNNNNNNNNNNNNNNNNNNNNNNNNNNNNNNNNNNNNNNNNNNNNNNNNNNNNNNNNNNNNNNNNNNNNNNNNNNNNNNNNNNNNNNNNNNNNNNNNNNNNNNNNNNNNNNNNNNNNNNNNNNNNNNNNNNNNNNNNNNNNNNNNNNNNNNNNNNNNNNNNNNNNNNNNNNNNNNNNNNNNNNNNNNNNNNNNNNNNNNNNNNNNNNNNNNNNNNNNNNNNNNNNNNNNNNNNNNNNNNNNNNNNNNNNNNNNNNNNNNNNNNNNNNNNNNNNNNNNNNNNNNNNNNNNNNNNNNNNNNNNNNNNNNNNNNNNNNNNNNNNNNNNNNNNNNNNNNNNNNNNNNNNNNNNNNNNNNNNNNNNNNNNNNNNNNNNNNNNNNNNNNNNNNNNNNNNNNNNNNNNNNNNNNNNNNNNNNNNNNNNNNNNNNNNNNNNNNNNNNNNNNNNNNNNNNNNNNNNNNNNNNNNNNNNNNNNNNNNNNNNNNNNNNNNNNNNNNNNNNNNNNNNCCCAACUGAAGUUGAGCACUUCUUAUCACCCACAGUCAGAUGGCCAAACUGAAGUGGCUAAUAGAUGUGUGGAGACAUACCUUAGAUGCUUUGUAGGGCCUAAACCAAAGCAAUGGUUAGAUUGGAUACAUUGGGCAGAGUUUUGGUUCAAUUCAAAUUACAACAGUUCUGCGGGAAUGACUCCUUUUAGAGCUUUGUAUGGUAGGGAUUCUCCUACACUGUUGAAAGCAGGUGCUGUUCCUUCUAAAGUGGAAGAAGUAAAUCAGAUGUUUCUCCAUAGAGAUGCUAUAAUAGAAGAAUUGAAAGCCAACUUAACUAAAGCUCAAAAUCAAAUGAAACAACAGGCUGACAAGCAUAGAAGGGCAGUAGAAUUUCAAGUGGAGGAUUGGGUUUAUCUCAAACUACAACCAUAUAAAUUGAAGUCUUUAGCUUCAAGACCUUAUGCUAAGCUUGCUCCUAGAUUUUAUGGUCCAUACCAGGUGGUCACAAGGGUGGGUACUGUCGCCUACAAGUUAGCUCUACCUGUCCAUUCUAAAAUUCACCCUGUUUUCCAUGUGUCCUUAUUAAAGAAGGCUCUGAAACCUCAGCAACAACCUCAACCUUUACCCCCCUAUGCUGAAUGAAGAAUUGGAGUUACAAGUACAACCAGAAGACAUUACUGACAACAGAGAAGUUAAUCAAGGUCAUGUUGAAGUCUUGGUAAAAUGGAAGGAUCUUCCUCUACAUGAAUGCACUUGGGAAUUGGCUGCUACAAUACAAGAAAACUUCCCAGAUUUUCCACUUGAGGGCAAGUUAUUUCUUUUAGGGGAGGGUAUUGAUACGAUUAGGCCAAAGCCUAUUAUUAAAAAUGUAUAUAGAAGAGGGAAUAGGAAGGUUUGGUUGAAACCUUCCUAAUUGUAAUUCUCUGACAGCUGUACAAAAACAGUUAGCAGUUAGGAAUACUAUAAAUAGAAUGUUAGUUCUAAUUGAGAGUUAGUUAGAGAUUGGGAAAGUUAUCACUGGUUGUGGAACCAGAACAGGAUCGCAGGAUCCUCUGUAAUUCCUUCAUCCCUUCCAUUCUAUUCAAUUCAAUAAAGUUCCAUACUAAAACCUAAUCAGAAUCACAUUGAUUCUGGGUCAGGGUAUUGAUUCUUGAUUCAUUCUUUCGUUUCUUUAAUUCUGAUUACCAGUGUUAUCAGCGAUCCAACUAGAGAUUUGUAAGUACACAGAACUGUCUGUAGUAUAAACUCAAAAUAUGUUUGCGAGUAUCAUGUGUAUGUAUUGCAACAUUAAGGCGCAUAAAAUUAACAAAUACAAUUGUGGAGGGAAUGAUUUCUAUUUUAUUUCUGCACAUCUGCCUCAACAAAAUAUUACGUGAGAAAUACUUGUAACACAGCUGAUAGGAAUGGGUUGGGCCCCACAAGUGAUGAGGGGGGUCUCUUAGUAAAUAGAGAUGAGGUGGGGCCUAAGCAAUGGCAAGUAUAUGUGAGAAAGAAUAAGAAAGGGGAUGUAGAAAAAUAAUGAUUGCCUAGCUGGCAUAGGGAGUUAAUAUUCCACUAAUAAAUAGGAAUUAAUAUUCCACUAAUAAAGGGGAGUGUGUGCAGAGAUAGCUGGAUGGUUUUUUAUUUUUCAGUUACACCUUAUAGGUUGGGCAGUAAGAGAAUUGUUUUCUCUAACUGAGGAGCAUUAGCUCUGGAAUCAUUUUCUGUUUUCUUAUCAAUUAAUACAAUAAUUCUUUUCAUCUAAUUUUAUCUUAUCUCUGCUCUAUCACUUCCCUAUAUCGUCCUUCAUCAUAUGAUGUAUGCGGCCCUUGCUUCUAACAAAAAGAGCACAAUCUCUUAUGGCAUGGUGCUCGCCAAGGUUUUUAAGUCCACCAAAAUUCCUCUAAAUGAUGACAUUUCCCUCACUUCUUGCUCCAAGUUCACAUUGAAAAAUGGGAAUUAUAUGAAAAAGCGUCCUCCUCCACAAAAAGAAGAGAGUUGCAUCCUCUUCACCUAAGAUAUAGGUCCUCCAAAUGGUGAUUAAGAGGCUGCAAAAAGGAAGAGGAAACAAAAUAUAUUAAUUGGUUGAACCAAUUAUGGAGGAGAUAGAAUGUUCUCCAUGAAGGAAACACCACCUCUGGAAAUCCAAAUUUUGUUGAUUUUGAUCAAGUUAUCGACAAUGAUCAAAUCAAUUCAGAAAUGAUUGUAGAGUACACUUCAAUACUUGAGGUAACUCUCACAAAAAAUGGUCUAAAUCCCUUCUUUAAUCCCACCAAAAUCAUAACUAGAAACAUCUCUCACUCAAUUCUACUUUUUACAUCUCCCACCAAUAGCUCGUCAACUCACUUUGAGCCUAAUUCACUCAAAAAUUUAUUAAAAUUCCAAGCCAUAACUCCUAUGUGCCUCUACAAACUUUUCAACCUUCAACCUUUUCACUGCCAUUUUCAUCUACAAAAUUUGGUUCUUUGGGUUCUUUUUGCAUUGCUAACUACUCAAGUGAUUGAGAAUAUCAGUCAUCAGGUUAUUCUAUUGAUGAACGUCAUCCAAAAUUGAGAACAAUACCUCCAAAACCAGAAAAGACACUCCCACGAUUUUUGAGGAAAUGGUUAUUUUGCAUAACCUUCUAAUUCACCAAAGUCAAGAAAAUACCACUCUUAAGAAAUAGAUUACCGAUGAAGUCUUCCCAAAAUUUGGUCUUAAUCCACCUGCUCCUAAUUCAGCACCACCUCCUCAAUAUUUUCCUAUUUUAUCCAUUUCAUCAACAUCAUCUUAUGCCUCAUCACCAUCCUUGACUAUAUGAUGUUGUUGUUAUCCACUACCUCUCUUUUUUAUAUGACAAAAGAGGAGAAUAAAUUAGGAUGCUGAUGUUUUAAGUUUUUAAUUACGACUGCAAUUAGGAACUUAAGAAGUAAAUUUUUGUGCACAUUGUUGCUUGCUUACUUCUUUUUAUUUUCUCAAUUUCAAUUCUAAAGUAGGACCUGUUAAAUUUUUUAACCUUGAUCUAUGUUCAUGUAAAAUCAUUUUGUGGUAUUGUAUCAUUUUUGAUAUGAAUGGAACACAUAUAUGGUUCAAGAUAAAAUGGAGGGGAAGCUUUUUGAUAAAUCAGGCAAGCUUUAUCGUCAUUUAAUUAAAAAUCAUAAUCACAAAUUCAAAAUAUAAUUUAAGAGGCUUGUCAUCAUCAAAAAGGGGAUAUUGUUGAAGCUAAAUCUCAAAAGAUAACACACAUCUUAAAUUAUAUUUUUAAGAUUCUAAUCAUUAUGUGAUCUAACUUGUUCUUUUGAGUGUUUUAUGAUUGAAAAUGAGAAUUGAUUUUAAUCUAAGUAUCUUACUCAUAAGAGAACAUAACAUCACUAAAAAAUGCAUAGAAAGAACACUAUACCCGAUGAAGAAGAACGUUCUCCUUAAUGGGAAUUUGAUAGAAACAUUUCUCACAUGUUAAAGCCAAAAUGCAAAUGUUAAAGCCAAAAUGAGCACCUAAAAUGAAUUUAAGUCAACUUAGUAAUCGUCAAGGAACAAUUAUUAUGUUUAAGUCAUUUCAAGAUUAUUGCAUUUAAGAUACUAUUUAUAAACUAACUUGAUUGAAGAAUAAUGAAAUAACAUUCUUUAUGGAACCAACCCAAGGGAAUAUGUCAAAAAGGCUUUGAGCGAUCCGACCUUGAUUUUAGCAUUGUUUUUUAAUUUUAUUUAGAUCAGUAUGAGUAAGCCAAGUCACAUUUUGGCAUACAAAUAAUGAUCCAACAUUUGAAGAGAACAUUAUCAUUGUCCUGCCACUUGCAAGGACAAAAAGACAAGAAUAAAGUAAAAGUGAAAGUUAGCACUUUUUUCCUUCCCUAUAAAGCUACAGUAAACAACUUUGAGGUGGCAUAAGCUUCAAAUUUCUCAACCAUCCAUCCUUCACAAAAAAUUAGAAGAACUUUCUUCUUUGUGAAUAGAACAUUCUCUUUAUUUUGCACUAAAAAUGAGGACAACUCAACAAAGAGAUUGUGUUUUGCAUAGAAUAGUGUGCCCAACAACUAUAUUUUAUCUACAAGCAAUCUAAACCUCUCCCCAUCUAUAAAUAGAGAUGUUUGUUGAACAUGAACAAGAAGAGUCUAAGCUUCAAUCGUCAACUACUUGUUUCUCACAAGACUCUGUUUGAUCAUACACAUUUCAGUUUUUCUCUUUAAUUUAGAAUAUUACACUUCUGAGUGUGUUGCUAUGGUUUUCUUUUACUUCUCAAAUUUGUCUUUGAGUAUUCAUAAGCAAAUAACUCAAACACUUAUUCAUAUAUUGUAAAUAUCUCCCAAAGUCUUUCCUCUGUGUGAAGUUUGUUUAAACAGAGAUUGUAAGCUUGUUGAGGUUGUGAUAAUAUAGGUUGUAAACAUGUUGAGGCUUUACUAAUACAAAUUGUGUUAUAUUAGCUUGUGAUCUAAAGAAAGUUGUAAAACUGAUGAAAGAAUGUUGUCUUCAGCAAAAUAGUGGAAAAUCUCACAAGGUGUGAGAACUGGACGUAACCCAAGGUUAAGCAUGAAUUGGGAUAAAUUUUUGUGUGAUUCUUGUUACCUUAAUGUUUUUCAUUUGCACACCGAUCACACUAAUCAGUGUCAUUUAUAUUUUUCAUAAGACAAUUUUUAUAAAGAAUAUUUUCUUCAUUUUAAACAAACAUUUUGAUCUAAAUUUAAAUUGUUAUAAGGCCUCAACUCAACAUUUUGUUUAAACAGAGAUUGUAAGCUUGUUGAGGUUGUGAUAAUAUAGGUUGUACACGUGUUGAGGCUUUAUUAAUACAAAUUGUGUUAUAUUAGCUUGUGAUCUAAAGAAAGUUGUAAAACUGAUGAAAGAAUGUUGUCUUCAGCAAAAUAGUGGAAAAUCUCACAAGGUGUGAGAACUGGACGUAACCCAAGGUUAAACAUGAAUUGGGAUAAAUUUUUGUGUGAUUCUUGUCACCUUAAUAUUUUUCAUUUGCACAUUGAUCACACUAAUCACUGUCAUUUACAUUUUUUGUAACACCCCGAUUUUCAAAGCGAAGGUGUAUUUUUUUUUCAAAAGAAAUUAAAAUAAAUCAGAGAAUUAAAUAAGGUAAUACCCUUGGAUAAAUAAUUGAGUCAUGAUAAUUCACAAGCAGCGGAAAAGUUUCUCAAAAUAUGAAUCCAGAGUAUUUAGACAACAACAAAUGAUACAUGGAACCCAUUCAAAUAAGAUGUCAUACUGACAAUAUUAGCAAAGGUGCAGUUUUCCAGUUCAAAAUAACGUAAUCCAAAAGAAAGACAUAUGUUCCCUCUAUGUCAUCCUAAUCUGGUCAUUCUACAAAAAACUAUAGCUAUACACCCUGAGUGAUCUCCACGCGCCCCGUGAGAUCCUCCUAACAUAGCUCCAGUCAAGCAAUCCCAUCUACAUUCCCAUCCGUAGGGUACGAACCGGUAGGAUCGUCCUGGCUCUCAUCUGAGGGCAAAGCCCAGAUUUCCACAAUAGUUGUAAAGGGUCACCAACCGAAAUUAACAGUUAACACAUAACAUUUAAAUUUUCAAAUGCACAAGAUAACCUUUCAACCUAGCAUGCACCUUAAAAGGGUUUUCCAUAUGCUAAAAGUUCAUAUAACACUUGCCAAAUAAAAAUGAAAUCAAAAUAAAGUUCUCAAUCCAUCAAGUAAUACAUAACUAACCAAGACAUUGAUAAAUCAAUUGAGCAAUCUGUUAUCUAACUCAAAAUAAGAAUUUCUACUAAGCCAAUCAAUUUCCAAAUCGAUUUCCUGAAGGUUUUUAGUGAAAUUUGAACUCUGGGCUUAAUUCAAUCGAUUGGGCAAUCGAUUGACAGAAUAGCUGAGCCACUGACUUAAUGCCAAUCGAUUUCCAAAUCGAUUUUCACAGGGUUUACCCCUUUUGAGGUGGUGUAUGGCAGGAGACCUCCAGUAUUGGUGCAUUUUUUGGAGGGAGAAACCAGAGUAGAAGCUGUAGCCCAGGAGUUAAGAGACAGGGAUGAAGCUUUGCGUCAAUUGAAAGCUAAUUUACUCAAAGCUCAAGAGUACAUGAAAUACCAAGCUGAUAAAAAACGCAAGGCAGUUCAAUUUGAGAUUGGUGAUUGGGUUUUCCUCAAAUUACGUCCCCAUCGACAGCAAUCGGUGGUGCAUAGAAUUCAUCAAAAAUUGGCUCCCAGAUUUUUUGGUCCUUAUCAAGUCAUUAAGAAGAUAGGGCAGGUUGCUUACAAGCUACAGUUACCAGCAACAUCUAAAAUACAUCCUACUUUUCAUGUUUCUCUAUUGAAGAAAGCUGUAGGCAAUUAUACUGCUACAACUCAAUUACCUAGCAGUUUGGAGUCUGACACUGGGGAUAUUAUUCCUGCUAAGGUUUUGUCAUGGAGGGAUAAGUUUGAUGGUGGGCAGCAUAAGCGAGAAUGGUUGAUUCAAUGGGAAGGCAUGGAUGUCGGAGAUGCUACCUGGGAAGAGGAACUGCUGCUGAAGAGUCAAUUCCCUGAUUUGCGCCUUGAGGACAAGGCUACUGUUGAAGGUGGGGGUGAUGAUAGGAAUGGGCUGGGCCCCACAAGUGAUGAGGGGGAUCUCUUAGUAAAUAGAGAUGAGGUGGGGCCUAAGCAAUGGCAAGUAUAUGUGAGAAAGAAUAAGAAAGGGGAUGCAGAAAAAUAAUGAUUGCCUAGCUGGCAUAGGGAGUUAAUAUUCCACUAAUAAAUAGGAAUUAAUAUUCCACUAAUAAAGGGGAGUGUGUGCAGAGAUAGCUGGAUGGUUUUUUCAUUUUUCAGUUACACCUUAUAGGUUGGGCAGUAAGAGAAUUGUUUUCUCUAACUGAGGAGCAUUAGCUCUGGAAUCAUUUUCUGUUUUCUUAUCAAUUAAUACAAUAAUUCUUUUCAUCUAAUUCUAUCUUAUCUCUGCUCUAUCAACAGCUUUACUAAAUAACAAAGUCUAUUUCUUAUUUAAAGAAGAUCUAUAAGAAACACAAUAAUUGAAAGUAUAAAGAGAAUGUGUCAAACAAUAAGUUACUAGCACUCCUUGUAUUAGGUUCACAAACUUAUUCAGGAAUAUAUUAUAUAACAGAAAUAUCUUUCGAUUGAUUUCAUAUAUCUCUAAGAGUAGAAAUCUUGAUUUUAUUAUAAAGUACUUAGUUUUCACAAUGAAGCAGUAGACAGUGUUAUCAAGGGAGGAAAGUGGAUUAUGGCAGCCAUCCAAAAAUCCACCAUAUAGACAUAGCAUUGUGGACUAUGGAUAAUAUAUACGGUUUUGCGGCCUAUGUCUGCAGGCCUAAAAUCCUACAUGCUAUGACGCCCUGGUGCCACCAUGACAGAAAUUUGACAACACCAGUAGCCAGUAGGAAACAUUGUGUUUAGCAAACAUUUCUAACUACAGAGAAAUCAAUUACAAAUUUAUUUGCUAAAGAAUUAGAGUAAAAUAUAUUAGUUUGAAGCUCAAGUGAAAAGUCUAAAAAUUUCUGCAUAUUAAGACAUAGAAAUGCAGCACAAUGGGAAAUGACAAAUAAUUACCAACAAUAAACAAUCUAAACCAUCGUGCUAAAUAAGCAAUCAGAGACAUGAAUUUUUGUUUAGAAUUUAAGAGCACACAUGGCCCUUUUGUGAAAAGAGUUUUCAAGAUGUUAAUAGGAAUGGCAAUUAAACAAUAAUAUCGGUCAUUUUAAAAAGUUUACCCCCAACACAAAGAUUGCAGCAUUCAUCAAACAAAGACACAUCACUUACAGCAUUGGACGGAGAUGGCCAGCAAUGCAAAGCAGCACCAGCAUGAACAGCAUCAACUGAACCUGAUGCAAAGGGAAGCCUAGAAACAUCUGCCCUUACAAGGGCGAUAUUACUGCAAACAAUGAAAUGAAUUUUUAUUAAGCGCAACCACUUAUCCUCAAGCAAAGGGGAAACAUUGAAUUUGAAAUUCUUUAGCUGCAAUCAGAAUCAAGAAGAGGAUGAAAACAAUACGUGGAUGAAAGUGUGUCAUCUUUCUUAAUGAAAUCAUUGCAUUGGCGAAGCAUAUUUUCAGAAAAAUCUAGAGCAACGACUCCAGAAUAGGUUCCAGAAUUGGCAAACUUUCGGGAAAAUAAUCCGCUUCCACAGCUAACAUCGAUGAUCAGACCACCUUUAGCAGGUUCAAAGUACUCUUGAGCCAUUUUGAACUGCAUUAUAAAAAAAAUAAAAAGAGCUCAAUAUAUAUUAAAAUUUCACGAAAUAAUCUAAAAACGACAGAAACUUACAACCUCAGCUUCCUUUCUGUAAUGUAUGUGUAUAAACAAAGUGGUUUUGUUACAAAUCUAGAGAAAAAGAAAUCAGAAACAAAGUUUCCCAUUUCUAUAAACUAUAAAGGAUUACUCCUUCCACAAACUCUCCAAUAUACAGAGUGUCCCCCCUCCCAUCUAUUCUGAUUUUCCCUAUUUAUACAAAUAUCCACUUCAACUACUCAAUUUCUUUAACUGUUCUCUAACUGCCCCUAAAUUCUAACAGGUUAUUAUGUCUACCAAAACACAUUUUGGAGUUUGGACAAUAACCAUGAAUAUUGUUCAAGUAUUACUGUUGGAACAUUACAACUGCAGUACUGGCACAGAAAGCGUACCUCUUCUUCAGGACCAGGAAAGCCACUUUGCCUGAAAUUCUGACGCCAACCUCUUUCAUAUAAGAAUGAAACAAGAGGACUCCUAAUAAAGGUUUAUACACAGUGAGAAUUUAAGAGCUUUCCCAAAUAAAUGGACCACGCAGAAAACUGAACCAGAUUACAACUUGCGUCACAUAUGUUAAACAAUUAUUCAUAUAAAUAAAUUAAAAUGUCUCCUCAAAUCACGAAAAAAAUGGAAAACGGAUAUUUUAAAGGUAGCUAUAAUAUUACUGGUAUGUGCCUCAUGUGAUAAUAGUUUCUCAUCAAGUAUACAUAACUAACAUGAAUAACAUAAUAUCAUGAGAUCAUCAAUGACAAGCUAAUGCCAUGAAAUUAGAGACCAAUUUAUUUUCUAUUGAUACCUAAAAAGUUCAGUCCGAACUGGUUGAACUUCAGUGUAAUCUCUUAACCCAGAAGUCACUGUCAAAUCCAGAUACCCAUCUUUGCUGGUGUAUGCUUUUUGACAUCUCUUACACUUGAAACCAGACCUGUAGAUUGCUGAUCUGAAGAUGCAGAACCAUUAAAUAAAUUACUAUAAUUUAGAUACAUAAAAAUUAGAUACACCUUCCCUCAUGCAUAUCAAUCCAACUUACAAGUUAAAGCCAACAGGACCUUUUCUUAUCAAUGGUUCAUAACAUAUCGGACAUGCGAAUAAGUCGACUUGUGUAUUCAGAUCGUGCUGCGUGGUUAAAUCCUGAAGGAAAAAUUAGCAAUAGUAGUGAUAUAAGUUUGAGCUUUUUGUUAAUGGACCUAACACAAAUUCAUACAAGCAAAAUAGAUAUAACUUGUUGAAUUUACCGCAUUACCAAAAUCUUCAGUUUUUUCAUAACAAAAUAUCAAUGUACUUAAAGACAUUGCAUUGAAAAAGCACCUCAUGAAUUAAACUAGCAAAUCUUUAACUCCAAGCGUUGGCAUAAACUAUUUUCAGCUUAUUUUCAUAAGCUCCUCAAGAUAGCUUUUGAAAACAGCUUUUAACUAAUAGGAAACAGUUUGACUUCAUUAUAUAAGCUAAUUUUCCUAUCAUUAAAAAACCUAAAAAUUUUAUACACUAAUACUAUACUUCUAACAGAACAGAGGGCUAAACGUUAACAGAGUGGAUAAACUAAACUAAAAAACAUUCAAUUAUAUAAGCUUAUAAUUUGAUGAAAAGAUCAAUCCAGUUUAAUUUCUUAAUUCUUAAAAGAGGAGUUUGGGUAUAACAUUAAAUAGAGAAAAUGAAAAGGAGCAGAACACUAUACCGACUCCACAACAACAGCAGCAGAGGUGGCACGAAUUGUGGUUCUUUGGGUUUGAUGGGAGCGAAGGAGCUGAAGGCGAAACUGUGAUUCAGAAGAAAGGUGAGGGCAUUUGGGGAAUUCUAUUCGAUAAAGAGGGCGAAGGAAAUUAGAGGCAGCGGUAGCAGCAGACACGGCCAUGGUCUUAGAAGGGAGAAUUGGCGCAAUCAGCUAAGCGUGCCAGAUGAUCACUCGCUCGCACUCCUCUUUCUCCCCAACUGUGUCCCCUUGUGAGCCGCAAAAUUAAAUACGGUAAACAAUAACAAAACCAUUUUUAUAAAAAAUUAAAAGGUUUGAAUAAGUUUUUGAUAUUGUAAAUAUUUCAUAUUUUCGAUGUUUCACAAUAAAUGUGAUUUUAGUAAGAAAAAUAUUUUAAAAUAAAAUUAUUUAUAAUUUUCAAUGUAAUGUAGUUAAUUUUUUUCUUAUACCACUCUUUAAUUAUUAUUAUAUAUACAAUUUUUAAAAUAUUUUUAUAUUUUGCAUUAAUAAAAGUGAAAAAUUCACCAAUAAUUAAGAUGAAUAAUUUUAUAAAAUUAGUUUUUUUUUUCUUUCUUUCUAAUGAUUGUAUUUUUUAAUGUGUGGAAAAAAUUUAAAUAAUAUUUAUUAUGAAAUAGAAGAAGUAUUUCGUUUUUAAUCCCUUUAAAAAAAAUUCGUCAAUAAUUUUGGUAGUUGUUUUUAAAUCAAGUCAAUCUAUAUUGUCAAAAAAUUUAAAUUAUUUUGUACGUGUAUGUUCAGAACAUUAUAAAAAAAAUUUAUACAAAAUUUUAUAAUCUUUAACAAAGGGAGAAUUAAAUAUGAUUUUAUUAGUUUUUGGCACUUAAAAUUUAUAUUUAUUUCAUUAAUUACUAAAAAAUUAUAUGUUUUUGUAGAUGAUAUUCUUAUAAUAUUCUAAACAUAUCUACAAAAAAUUAUUUAAAAUUUGAAUGAUAAACAUGAGUUAACUUUAAAAUAGGGACUAAAAUUAUUGAUGUAAAACAAUAAAACGACUAUUGCUUGAAGAAUUUUUUUUGAAGAACUAUGCACGAAAUAUAAUAUAUUUAUAAGGACAAAAAACUUACAUAAUCCAAACUUAAAAUAUGAAUUUAAUUUGAAUGCACAUUUAUAGUAUUUAUAGUGUUUGUAAACAUUCUAAGACCCAUUGUUGGACAUUAUAGGUGAAUUCAUUCAUGCACCACUUUUAUAAGUGGUCUAUGACAUGUUAAUAUUUUAAAAUUAUCAACAACAAAAAAACUAUGAUUGACAAUAUUUUUUAGCAGUAAUAACUCAUAUGCUCCUCAUCUUUAUAAAUAAAAUUGUGAACCAAUUGAGAUCGAUUUAAUACACGAUAUAUAUUUAUUAUUUUUAUUUUAAUAAAAUUCGUAUAUUUUAAGUCACAUUGAUCUAUAUUAAAAUUUGUCUAUAUUAAAUUAUUUAUUUAAAAUAAGACUAGUUUUAUUGCUGGGAGGAGUGCGAUUGACAAUACUAUUAUUUCAUGAAUAUAAUUCAUGAACUGAGUUCGCAUACGUUAUCGGAAUUUGAAAACUGAUUCACAUACGUGAACUCAGUUUACGUACGUUACUGGGUUUUUGAAAAUGAGUUUGCGUACGUGAACUGAGUUCACAUACGUUUCUGGGUUUAGGGCAACGAAGGUUUUCUUCAUCCUCAAAAAUAGAAACUUUUUUUCUUCAAUUUUCAGGCAUUGCAUUCAUAAACAGAGACAACAAAACAACAAAAUACAAAAAAAACACAACAAAAACAAAGGUUGAUGAUUACUUACUUGAUUCACAACAGUGAUGGUAACUUGAUGAAGUUGGUUGAUAUGAUUAACGAAGAUGGUUGAUGAUGAUUGAUGAAGAUGUUGAAGAUGGUUGAUAAUGAUUGAAGAAAAUGAAGAAAAUAAAGAAGAUGAACAAUGUGUUGAAUGAAGAUGAUGAAUAUAGAAUGAAGAGGAAGAAAAUGAGUUAUGUUAAUGAAGAGAAAGAUGAUGAAUAUAGAAUGAAGAGGAAGAAGAUGAGUUAUGUUAGUGAAGAGGAAGAAGAUGGAUUAUGUUAAUGAAGAGGAAGAAGAUUGAAAUAAAAGGAAGGGUAAUUUGGACAUUUGGAUUUUUUUAAAACAUUUGAGGGGUGUGGGUAAUAAUUUAGGGGGUGCUGGUGGCAAAAUUGUUACCUUUAUAUGGUUGGCCAUAUCACUCUUGUUCAAAGAUAUAUUGUGUCUUCUAAAUUAUGUAAUGUAAUUCAUUGUCAUCCAUAUGGUUAUCUGUGACGAAGUUGAACGUCUUUGGAGAGAUUUUGUUUGGAGAUCCACUUCUAAGACAACUUGUGAAAAUACUACAAGUUGUUUCAACACAAUACAUUUAAAGUGAAAAAGAAUAAAUUUGAAGUCUCUACAUAACAUCGAGGGCCCUAUAUUCAAGGUGCAAGUCCAUUUAAUAUAAGAAAAGAUAAAAGAGAAAUACAAUUUGUGAGAUAUAUUUAAAAGUUAUUUAUAUGUUAUUAUACUAUAUAAAUAUGUGUGGUAUACAUGGGUGCUCGGAAGGAGAGAAAUGGAAGGAAGUGGAGGGGGAGGGAUGAGAGAAAGUUUGUUUUUAGAAAUAAUAAUAGGUUGAGAAAUCUACGGGCCACCCCACCAAAGCAUAUGAAAAUAUGAUUUUGGCGUCCUUUUUAACUCUAUGCAAAAAAAGUUUUGAACAGUUGAUGUUGGAAAUGAUGAUGCUUUUAAUGAAAAGUUCGUUGGAAAUAAUGAUGACAUUUAUGAGAGCUAGUGUUAUUAUGAAUUGAAAAAAUUGAGAAGUCCCAUAUUGGAGGGAUACCUCACACUAGUAGGGUAUAUAAGGUGGAGGUAAUGAACUUGGAAAGGGCCCCAAGGGGCACCCCAAUUUUGUGAAGGAGGGAGUACGCAAGCAAUAUUGACCACCACACACGCGCGCGCGCCGCCGCCGGCCCGGCUUGCUUGGUUUGGCUUUGGCUUUGGCUUUGUGGUGUAUUAUUAUAUUUUUCUUUAAAAUUAAUUAAUCAUUUUAAUUGACUGAUUGCUUGCGUUCUAUCUCUGAAACGUUAAUUACGUAACUGCCCCCCACCGAGUCAUAUCUGAUCCAGUCUCCCUCCCUGAAUUCGUGCGUCUGUUUUGCCCGGUCAAAACCCUAAUCUUUGGUCUCACGUUUCCUUGUUGUCCGGUCAAAAGUCAGAGUAAAAUUCCUGAGUUUGGGCCACACGUUUUGGGGGCUUGGAGCGCACGUUUCUAAGGGCACUACUUGGAGCGCACGUUCUGGUGAUCCAUGGAUUUCUCAGAUCCAGUUGCGGAUUUCCCCUAUAAAUAUAGGGUUCUCCCCAGUUAGAAAAUCACACCAAAAGCUCUCCGUAUCUGAGGUUUUUCUCUCUUCUCCCCCUUCUUACUGCUUCAUCUCUUUCUUCUCUUUCGAGUGGUCAUUGUGCCAUAUUACGAGUGUCAGUCGUAAGACUGCUAUAUUGAGGGUGUAAUUCUAGAACAGUUUUCUACAGUGCAGGAGAACUCCGAUACAGAGUAUCUGGGCUGUUUUAUCCUGGGGACUUCGGGGUUGAUAGUCUGCCUUGCACAAUUUUGGGCAGUGCCUCGAAACGUCUUAAAGAGAGUGACCUAGUCCGCGACUCAACCCAGUAAUAUUUCCGGUGGCAUAAAUUGUUUUUAAAGGUUUUCGAAUUUCAAAAACAACAGUUGAUAUGUAAAUAUUUCUGAAAAAUUGGUUCUAUAUAUAUAAACUUUUUUUAUGGAAUGCAAAAGCUUUGGAAUAUAAAGUGAGUAUGUUUUCGGAAAUUUUUUAAUGUUUCAUAGUUUUGAAACUUUCUAAACACAUGUUUUAAAUGUUUUUUUUAGACAUUUUGGAAAGUUAAUGUAUUCAAAACCUUCAAACUGCAAUAUUUUUAGAGCAUUCAAACUUUCACAACGUGUUUUUCUCGUAAAUUUUAAAAGAAAAACAUUAAAAAUGUUUUUUUUUUUUCAUUUAGAAAGUUUACAUGAAUGUUAAAGUUUUGGCAAUCCGGAUGAAGCUGAAAGUUUCAAAAUGAAAAAAAAAUUAAUUUUAAAAAUUCGUUAAUUUUCUUAGAUUAUAUUUUUUUACGAUAUAUAUGUUAGACUUAAUUAUAAUUUUGAUCUCUCUAUUUUUAUCAAUUUAUGAAAUUGAUUCAUCUAUUUUAAAAAUCGACAAUUUUGGUCCUUCUAUCAGAAUUUUGAACUAAAAAAUAAUAAUUUGAUGUAUUUUAAAUAAUGUGAGAUACAGUUUCAUAAUAUAGAACCCUCUAAAUGUAUUAAUUAUUUAUAUGUCAUUAAUUAAAUUACAAAUAUGAAAAAUUUCUAAAGUUGAAAGUUAAGUUUUUAGAGUGUUUAAUUUCAAAGUGUUUAUUAUUCUACAUUUUUGUAUUAUAUGACCUCUUAUUUAAAACAUGUCAUGUCACCGGUUUUUAGUUAAAAAAAUCAUAGGGAGAGACCAAAAUUGUCGACUUUCAAAAUAAGAAGAUCAAUUUCCUGAAUCAAUAAAAAUAAGGGACUAAAAUUAUAAUUAAGCUUAUAUAUUAAUUAAAUUUGGUUUAUUUUAUAACAAAUAUGUUUUAUCAAAUUGAAUAAGGUAUGAGUGGAGUUGUUAGUGAAAUCUCUAUUAUACAUAUUUUUUUCUUCUGUAGAUUCUACUGAUAAAUUAACUACUGACUAAGUAUUCUUAUUAUUAAUUGAUGUUAUUAUUUUUUAAUGUACAGAUAUAAGUUGAGUUAUUGCCUUAAAUACAUUUUUCAGAUACUUUCCAACCGUGAAGUGGUGUUCGAAUGGACAAAAGUAGUUUGAAGGUAAAAUGGAAUAAUAUCAGUUACCAUUAGGGCUCACACAACUAUGAGACAAAGUGGAAGGUGUGCCACAUUAAUUUUGGAUUGUGAAAUAGGUAGAAGGUAUAAAGUACAAUUAAAAUCAACAAUAAUUUGUUCUCACAAAUAUAAAUAUCCAUUCAAACUCAUAUCGAUACCAUUGAGGAUUGAUGAAUGAUGAAAAAGUUAGUGUUUGAUGUGGAACAACCAAUCAUGAUUCAACAUGUAUUUUAGGUGAUCAUUCAUAUAUGGAGCUUUUAAAUGCAGAUGAGAGAAAUUUUUUAAUGACAUGCCAAAGUACAACUGAUAUCAAGAUUCAUUUUGACUGUGUUGAAUUAUCAAAAUAAAAAUCUCACUGAUAACCACCCAAAUGUAUAAGAAACAAAGUACUUAUCAAUCUUCUUUUAGAGAUUUCUACACAUAAACUUAGUAGCUAUUGAAGUUAAUACAAAGUGAAAAGUAUGUGCAUUGAGCAAAAAGAUCGAAGGAUUUGGAGGCUGUGAGUGACAUAUUUUAAACACAUCCUAAAUAUAUAAAGUUGUUGAACAUGUUUCAUUUGGUUUUGAUAUGUGACAUCACAUACAACAUAAAUAAAUACUAGCUACCAUUGCUUGAAAUUAUCAUAUAAGAUUAUGUUGAAGAUUUUCAUAGGAAGUUUCUAGAAAUAACUUACUUGUAUUUAAGAUAGUUUAUA
rnacentral:lncRNA from 1 species